rnacentral:lncRNA from 1 species
UUUUAUUUUUGUGUAAAACAUCCAAAUAAUUCGAAAAGUACAGUUGUUUUGCUUGCAACGUCUGGUAGAGAAAAUCAGGCAAAACCCCGGAGGUUUUAGGUAGUAUUAAGCCCAAACAAAAAGCAGGCCUUUCUCGGCCCAUCUUUCCAUCUACACCCCUGCGCUCGACUGAUAGCCUGCCGCCGGCUCUGGUCCGCCACCGCUCGCCACGGUCGCGUACUCCACUCCGAGCAGGCUCGUCAGGGAACAGGAAAGCAAGUGCAGACUCCCACUCCCACUCCCGCGCGCCGCGGCCGGCGGCGGCGACGGGGCCGCUGCCAUGGCGGAGCUGCGGCACUCGACGGCGGCGCGCGCGUCCAACUCCCCCGCCAAGCGCGACUCCGACGCCUCCGCCGCGUCGUCCCCAUUCCUCGCCUCCCCCUCCGCCCGCGGCAGCCGCGGCGGCGACGGAGACGACGGCAAGGACACCCACCGCUCGUCCCCUCUCCUCUCGCACCAACACCACAAGCGCGUCCACCUGCUGACGUCCCCGUUCCGCUCCCUCCUCGCCCUCGAGGACCCCAGGUCCCCUGCCGCCUCGUCCUCCUACCGGAUCCUUCUUGCCCUCCUCGCGCUCCUGCUCGCCACCGGCAUCUUCUGCGCACCCUUGCUUUGGUCCCGCCUCGUGAGCUGCUGGCCCCCCUACCGAAUCUUCACAAUGCCAUUCAGUUUCGUCAGGAUUCUGACUUGCCACUGACAUUUUGUUGUUGUUGUUGUUGUUUCCUGUCUGGUCCUAGAACACGCCUUACUUGUGCCACAAGGAGGGGAUCACGCUUCAUUGCCCUGAGGUGAAGUGUGCUUAAUUGGCUAAUUGCUGCAGACGUUUUGGGACUCGUGCUUGCUUCAGGAACAUUUGGUCUGAAGAAUUUCUGCUUUGGGUGCAGACGAAGGAACCCCUCUCGCUAUGGGAGAAUCCACGUGCUGCCACAACAUCUUGGAAGCCCUGUGCAGAGCGACGUAGUGAUGAGCCCUCAGGUAAGUCCACCAUUCAUGUUGCUUGAAGACAACAAUAUACUCCCUCCGUCCAAAAAGAAUGCAACUCUUGCAUCUCGAGCAAGUAAUUUCAAAUUUCACCAAAUCUAUACAAAAUAGUAUUAGCAUUUAUAUUACAAAAUAAGUAUCAUUAGAUUAAUCAUUUAAUAUAUUUUAUACUAAAUCUAUUUGGAGACAUAAAUGUUAGUAAUUUUUUGUAUAAAUUUGGUCAAAUUUAAAACUGUUUGACUUCUUGGGGAGUGAGAGUUGCAUUCUUUUGGAGACAGAGGGAGUAACAUUUUUUUUAAAUAAAGGAAAAUCCCGGCCUUGAACAUUCACAUGUGAAUGUCUAUAGCCGAACGUUACAAGAGUUCUUAGACUCUAGACCUCAAACGAGGAUAAAAAAUAAGAAAGAAAACUCUAAAACAAAGAAAGAAAUCAAGAAGACUAAGCUUCAAUCCUUCACUUCGUCCACGUUCCAUCCUUGCAAAACCUUUACGCUGCACCAAACCAUCACAUCACUUGUCUUCUUAGAAACUCGAUGUUCGAACUGUCUGAUGCCACCGAGGUAACUAAGUCGGAUCGAAGGACCUCCAAGACGAUGCUCCAAGAAGAAAACGACAUCAAAGACGCCGUCGCCGCCUCAUCCAGCAAGCCAGAAUUGAGUUUUCACCCGGAGAUCCAUCAAAAUUUGUGUAGAUAGCGCAUCGGCAAUGCCUCCAAGAAGGAAAUCGGCGCAAGAAGCGUUGCCAUUGCCGGCCGGCGUGAGGCCGGACUGGGAUUUCUCCUUGCGCUCCCCGAAGCCACCUCCGCACGCCAGCGUCCACCAGGAGCACCUGCCACGGCCAGCCUUCGAGGCCGACUCUCCACCAACGGACUGUAGAUGCCAUUGCUGCCUUCCAAUCCCGCAGUCACUCCGGCAUCAUGGCCGAGCCUCCCCCCGGACAGGGUCCAGCAGGCACGCCGCCGCCGCGUAGCGGUCGCACGGCCGCCCCGUCAUGGUAGCGCCGGGAGGGAGUAACAUACAAUAUACAUUUCAUCCUUGCUUUAUACUGCACGCAAUCACUGAAGGUCAGUGACCUUGAUUGUGCAAAUUUUGACCUCUUGGUUGACUAGUGUACUGUGAUGCGGCAAGCAAUCUGAUAGGCCCGCUAAAACCUGAUUUCCCAAUUUUUCUAGAAAACACGCCAAUUUUUUGUCUGUAGUUCCAUGUUAGACGCCAGACUUAUGAGACAUAAAGGCCUUGUUGUUUGUAUAAAAAAUGUGCCUUCAAGCAUCAUCCACCAUUUGUUUCCCUUCAUGAUUGGGUCCUGAUGGCUGAUGAUAUCAUGUAUAUAUCAUGCAGAUGUCCCGUCUGAGAAGGAAACCUCUGGGUAUAUUUUUAUUCAUGCCGAAGGAGGACUAAACCAGCAACGCAUAGCUGUAUGUAUGCACUUAUGUUCUCCUCAGACUCCCUCUCAUAGCUGUUUGUGUUAGUUCUGAAUAUUUGUUUUGAUGUUGCAGUUUCUUUUGUAGUCUAAGCUGAAUUUUUCUGAUACCUAUUGAUGUCCUCAAACUUUGUUAUAUGAUAAUUUUAAAAAUAUGUUUCAAUGUAACUUUGUAACUCCUUUUGAUUGCUUGUGUUAGCGGUGACCUAGGAAAUCUUGUUUAGAAAAAUCCUGUUAAGCAGUGACCUAGGAAAUCUUGUUUAGAAAAAUCCUGUUGUUUAAUAUUAGAAUCCCUCUUAAGCAGAUCAUGCCUCUUUCUUGAGCAGUGUUUAUUAGUUUUCUAAAAUGCACAGAGUUUCAGCUACUUCUGUCAAAAGGUUUAAGUAGCAUCAGUGACCCAUCAGUUAAUUACCCAUAUUUGGUGUUUUUGGCUUCUGCAGAUAUGUAAUGCUGUUGCUAUUGCUAAGAUAAUGAGUGCAACACUUAUUUUGCCAGUUCUGAAGCAGGAUCAGAUAUGGAAAGACCAAACGUAAGUUCCGUUUCCUGUUCUAUUAUAUUUCACUGCUGUUAUUCAGGUGAUUGUUCUAUCAUAUAAAAUCUGGUCCAUAAAUCUAUAGAACUUCUAUCUUCUAGAAACUGAACAUAGCAUUCUACUAGAACACUAAAAAUGAACUUCUAUUCUUUCACCAAAGCUGCAACCUUGUCAGGGUUAUUGAAACUUGAAACUUACUUCUUGUUAGUUGUCAGAAGUCCAAGUGCUCGUGUUCCAAAAAUCUGUAAUCAAAAUACUUUUGCUAAGUAGCCAUUUUCUAGGUUAAAAUAUGCGGAGUAAUUAUCUGUGUAACAUACAUCUUUACUGAGUAUUAAUUUCUUAUAGAGGAUGAUUUGAUUUGCUAUGCUGUUACUUAAUUUUCAAAGUAUGUGCUUCUAAAUGUGACUGCCUCAUUUAUUAUGCUUCUCCUAUGAUUAUGGUACUGUCUUGUCACAAGAACAUCCUGAUUGUGGGCUGUAUUGGUGAAGCUGUGAUUACUGGAAAAAAUAUACGUGUAGUUGAUUAAUAAAAUAUCUACCAAACGUGCCAAAAUGUAUUUUUGACCUGAAAAUUUUGCAGCCAUUGAUAUAUAGAUCAAUAUAUAGUUGAUAAAUCAGCUAAGGAAACUCUUGAUCUGUGAUGUAAAUGCAUUCAAAUAGUAUACAGAUUAUAGAGACUAGGGCUCCAAGGCCCAAUCAUCUUUGACACAUUUGAAGUAGUUGUAGUGGUGAAAUUUGCAAGCAUGGAAGUUUGCAAUAUGAUGUAACAGUAGGUCUGAAGUUUCCUUGGUUCCAUAUUGCCACUGUACAGUGAAGUAGUCGCUAUGAGAUACACCACAUAUUCAUGAUUUCCUUAGAGCCCUUUACAUAUGUUGUGUUUUGCUUUUCUGAAAUAUUGCCUACAUUGUUGGGAACAUUUGCCUUUUCUACAGGAAAUUUGAAGAUAUCUUUGAUGUCGAUCAUUUUAUAAACUAUCUGAAGGAUGAUGUACGCAUUGUCCGAGACAUCCCAGACUGGUUCACAGAAAAAGAUGAGCUUUUCACCAGCAUAAAGUAGGUGCUACAUUUUGGUUUGAUCAUUGUCUUAACUACCUUAACUCAGAAAUUGAUCUUGCUAUAUGCAACCACUGUUGACAUGGAACUUUGUAUAUUUCUCACCUCUUUAAAUGCCGCUGUGCAUAUUUUCUUCUAAUACUGUAAUAUGAAUGUUUGAGACCAACCGACUUUAUUACAUUCGUAUUUUAUUCUAUUGCUCCCCCCCCCCCCCCCUCCUCUCUGUUGGACUUUUUUUUUCAUAAUAUGUAUUGAAUUAUGUGUCUAUAACAGGCGAACUGUGAAGAACGUUCCAAAAUAUGCAUCUGCCCAAUUUUAUAUUGAUAAUGUACUUCCAAGGAUCAAAGAGAAAAAGAUAAUGUCCAUUAAGCCAUUUGUCGACAGGUUGGGGUAGGUAAACAUUUGAAUGCAAUUAUUUUUGUAAUUCAUUCAGUUUUGUUAUUCCAUGAUGUCAGAAAGGUUGCUCUACAAUUUAUCAUAUUGGAAGAAUCUGAACCUAAUGUAAAGCUUCAAAUUUCAGGUACGAUAAUGUUCCGAUGGAGAUUAACCGGCUAAGAUGCAGAGUCAACUACCAUGCUCUAAAGUUCCUACCUCAUAUUGAAGAAAUGGCUGAUAAGCUUACGGCAAGGAUGAGGAACCGAACUGGCAGUGUAAAUCCAUACAUGUAAGCUAUAGUUAACUAUCUUCUAUCCAACCUAGCUGAAGUUUGGCAGUCUCACGUUUGUUUCACUAUCAAAUAUGGCACUUCUUUUGAAGGGCUCUUCAUCUGAGAUUUGAGAAAGGGAUGGUGGGCCUUUCUUUCUGUGAUUUUACUGGCACGCGGGAGGAGAAGGAAAUGAUGGCUGCUUACAGGCAGAAAGAAUGGCCAAGGCGCUACAAGGUCAGACAAACCCUGAGAAAUCUGUUGUGUUGAGUUUUUCUCUAAAACCUUGAGGACAUGAAGUCAUGAACCACACACUUUAUACCAUUUUAACAAAUUCCUAUUGUUUUGUGCUUGCAGAAUGGAUCCCAUCUAUGGCCGCUGGCGCUUCAGAAGAGAAAAGAAGGGCGUUGCCCUCUUGAGCCCGGUGAGAUUGCUGUGAUCCUGCGAGCACUGGGGUACACGAGUGGAACACAGAUAUACGUUGCGUCAGGGCAAGUGUAUGGCGGCAAGAACCGGAUGGCUCCCCUCAGGAACAUGUUCCCCAACUUGGUAAGCUCAAAUCCACAGCUCAGUUGAAAACACAAUUUUCCGCCGUACUCGAAAAAAGGACGGCAAAAGCAUUGCAUAAACUUUCUGUUUCCUUGAAGCCAUGAAACAAGAUGGCCAUUCUAUUCCACCAAGCUAAGACCAUCCAUACCAGCCAGCCAUGGUGAUGGUGACCUGCAUUGGCAUUGCUCAUCGCUGCAGGUGACGAAAGAGGAGCUGGCGAGCGCGGAGGAGAUGGCGCCGUUCCGGCGGCACGUGACGAGCCUGGCGGCGCUGGACUUCCUGGUGUGCCUGCGGUCGGACGUGUUCGUGAUGACGCACGGCGGCAACUUCGCCAAGCUCAUUAUCGGGGCGCGCCGCUACGCGGGGCACCGCCUCAAGUCGGUGAAGCCGGACAAGGGGCUCAUGUCCAAGUCCCUGGGCGACCCCGACAUGGGCUGGGCCUCCUUCGCCGAGGACGUCGUCGUCUCGCACCGCACGCGCACGGGCCUCCCGGAGCCCACCUUCCCCAGCUACGAUCUCUGGGAGAACCCGCUCACGCCCUGCAUGUGCAGGGCCUGACUCAGGACUGAGCCCCUGAGGUCCUGAACCAAACACCUUCUGGAGCCCUUCACCUACUAGAACUACUAGUCAGUUACAAUUCCCUGGCCAAGCAUUCUCUCAUCAGCAGCUAUGCUUCCAUUCCAUUAGCUCAGCAUUUGCAAUUUCUGCAUGUUUUGUGGCCUAAUCUGUAGUCUCACAUAGAUCGGUUCUUGCUGAAAAUAGUCCAAGAACUUGGACAGAUCAGUGAAAAGAUAAAGUAUCAGUUGAAACGCUCUCCAAAAUUCUCUUCGGAUUUGCCAAACAGAUCCACUAGACUAAUCUUGCCAGAGUGUUUCGGGCCAGAGUUUUGCGGAGACACGAGUACUCCGUAGUAAUACUAGAUUUGGCUGGCGACAUGAUGUGGACUACUAGAGAACUCAUCGGUGAACUCGCUGGUCGUGACGUUUCUUUCCACGCGGCAGCUCGGCAUGGCCAUGCAGCCUCUGUGCUCGACACGUCCUCCUGCCUCUCGAAGCACUCGAAAGUUAUUUAGAACUCGAUUGGGUACAGGGUUCUCGAACGAGCCUGGCUCGCUAAUCUCGCGCACAGGAGAGGCGAAGAGCCGCUACUACUACUAGCUAGAGUGGUCAGCAAUGGCGCAGCUGAGAGCACCCGCCGACGAGCAGCGGCAGCAGGAGGCGCUGCACAGCGAGAAGGACGACGUCGCCGGCGGCGGCGGCGGCAACGAGAGCAACAAGAAGGCGCGCGCGGGGCUCUGCGGCGUGCUCCGUGAGCGCAAGGUGGUGGACCUGGCGCGCGCCAAGCGCCGGCUGGUGGAGGUCCCCUACACUGCGACGCUGGCGCACACGGCCAACGCGCUCCUCGCGGCGCGCGUCUCCGCGGUCGCCGUGGCCGCGCCGCCGGGCCACUGGAUCGGCGCCGGCGGGUCCAUGAUCCUCGAGUCCGACCCGGCCACCGGCGCCGUCCGCAAGCACUACAUCGGCAUGGUCAACAUGCUCGACAUCCUCGCCCACAUCGCCGAGGCCAGCGACGAGGCCGAGGCCGACGACGAGGCGGUCGACCUCGACCGCCGGAUGGCCGUUCCGGUGUCCUCCGUCAUCGGCCACUCCCUCGAGGGCCUCACCCUCUGGACGCUCCAUCCAAACACCAGGUGCUUCCAUCUUGUAUUGGAUUGGAACAGGCACUCGUUUCUUCUUGGAUCGGAUUGCAACAAUUAUUAGAAUUCUUUUUUCGUUUCUUGUUGCAUCAGCGUGCUGGACUGCAUGGAGACGUUCAGCAAGGGGGUGCACCGGGCGCUGGUGCCGCUGGAGAGCUCGGCGGACAACGUGGUGGCGGUGGAGCUCGUGGAGUCCGCGCCGGGGUACCGGAUGCUCACCCAGAUGGACGUGGUGCGGUUCCUCAGGGCGCACGGCGCGGAGCUCAAGGGCGUGCUGUCGCGGACCGUGCGCGAGCUCGGCGCCGUGAACGAGGCCGUGUUCGCGUUAGCGAGCGGCGCCAGGGUGAUCGACGCCGUCAAAGCGAUGCGCGCGGCGUCGCUCACCGCCGUGCCCGUCGUGGACGCCGCCGUCGGCGAAGAGACACUGCAAGACGUAGACGCGCCUCUCGAUUAUUCCCAGACCGAGCUUCCAAUUCUCUGUGCUUAUACACGCGCUCGCUGCUGUGCGUUCUGCAGGGGGUGGGCAAGAAGGCGAUCGGGACGUUCUCGGCGACGGACCUGCGCGACUGCCCGGUGGCGCGGCUGCAGCCGUGGCUGGGAAUCAGCGUGACGGAGUUCAAGAGGAAGGUGGCCGAGUACCGGGCGAGCAACAAGCCCGUCGUCCCCGGCGCCGACGCCACGGACACCGGCGUCCCGGUCGCCGCCGACGCCGACACCCCAGCGGCGGCCGCCGUUGCCACCGAUGAAGAACGGAGCAACGAGCAGCCGCUGGUGACGUGCUUCCCGGAGAGCACCCUCGGCGAGGCGAUCGAGGCGGCGGCCACGAGGCACGUGCACCGGCUGUGGGCGGUGGACGGGGAGGGGCUGCUGCGCGGGGUCGUGUCGCUGACCGACGUCCUCCGGGCCGUGAGGGGGGCCGCGCUCGGCGAGGAUCGGGAGCUCCACAACAUCGUGUCGUCCUAGAAGUUGGCACUGAAGUGGUCGUCCAUCCAAAGUGUGAACAGCCAAAUAUAAUGUUGCUGACUUUUCCACUCGUGUUCGUCGGCAAGCUUGUGAUUUUGCCUUGUUCCUCUGUUCAACGGGUCCCCAGGCUUAGUUUGUGAGUAAAGGGUUAUUAACCCAGGGAGAAGGCCGGGAACCCGGCGGGGAAACGAGUUUCCAAACGAGCCUGCGGGGAAAGCGUGUGCCUCGUACGCCAUCCCGCGCGGCCGCGCCUCCCACUUUUCUCCCGCUGACAAACGGGGGCCACCCAACCGUCCCCACCCGCAGAUCGCCUUCCACCGCCGCCACUCCGGCUCGCCGCCGACCACCAAUCCCGCUAGCCGCUAUGGAUCCACGCCUCCGCAAGCUCGGGGCGUCGUCCAUGGCGGACGUGGAGCGCCACUUCGCUAGGUACGAUCCGACCACCACUCAGAUCGACGUUGACAGGAGCACGCGCCUGGUCGAUGCCGUGAAGAUGUACGAGCGGAUGCGAGCGGGUGUGAGAGGCGAGGACCGCAUCCAGGUCUUCAACCCGGAGCGAUUGCUCCGCAAGGUAGAAGCCGAAGAAGCCAUGCGCGGGGCGGUUGAGGAGAUGAACAGCUCCAUUGGCAAAGCGAACUUGAAGAUCCGUUCGGCGAAUGCUGGGAUUCGUUCGGCGAUUUGGGGCGAUUCGUGGGUUCAUGCUGGGAUGGUCUGAUUCCGUCGAUUUGCGAUUGGGUUUUGGGGACUGAGAUAUCAGGAUUCGUGGGUUCAUGCAGGACUUCUAAUUCGUGACUGUUCUGAUUGGUGCGGGGAUUCAGGAUUCUGACUGGGGAUUCUUCACUGUUCAUCUGCAGACACAGUUGGACAUUCCUAACCCUGAAGCUGAAGACGGUGUCCCUCCAGAAAGGGAGAUCUCCAAGAAGCAGAAGCUGAAUCUGCGGAAAGCCGACGCCGAAUCCCAAGUCACAUUUUGGAAGCUCAACCUGACAGUUCGAAUGCUGCGUUUUGUUGUUACCGAGUUCAGUGUCAGACAGGUAUAGAGUUCAGUUUCAGAUGGUAUAGAGUUCAGUUUUACUAUUUUAGAUCAGAAGACAUAGAAUUGUGAUUUUGCUUCCUAGCACAUAUUCUUAGGCUUCAUAAGCUUUUGUCAGCUUAUUUCAUUGUACUGCUUGUUGCAUGGAACACAUUCUGAUGCAGUUGAUAUCUGUGCUACACAAGUAUUUGCACAUGUCAGUUUUAUCCAUGCUGAGGUUUCUUGUAUGCUGAGGUUUUGCUUCUCUGAACCAUGAAUCAGUCACUUCUUCUUCAGCUUGAUGAACAUCAAGUAUAUUUACUAGAAUUAGCAUCACGGAUGUGAUGACUCUGUAUGGGUGUUGAAUUUCCUGUUGCCUUCUCUUGAAAUGUUUCAGAUCACUCUCUUGGUGCAGGAUAGCUUAACAGGUAUGCAAGUAUAACUCAUUAGUAACUAGUAAGUUGCAAUAUGUGGCUCUAAGCCUUUAGCCACACCGAGUACUAAACUGUGCAUUUUCUUUGUCAAGCCCAUGGUUAUCUGAGAAACCAAACCAGCUUUUCUGUUGUGUCCUUUGAUGCUUGGAUUUUAUUUUUAUUCCUGCAUAUGUAAAUGCAAUUCAUCAUUCAAGAAAUUACCGUGCAAUGGUACUUCAUUGUGAUCCUCGCAAUUGUUCUUCUUAGAGUUGGAAUCAGAUGACAUGCAUGGAUGUGGAAAUUGCGGUACAAAUUUGUGGUGGGAUUGAAUUCAUAAAUUUGCAUUGUUUUUGGAUUAGAUAUUACUGCUUAGGUACUGGGCAUGAUAAGCAAAUGUCGGGUUAUGCAGUUUAUGAGAUCCAGUUGAUACAGUAUAUUGCGUGAUUUUUAAGCUCAAUGGCAAUGGGUGGAAUUUGUCAGGGUUUGUGUUGGUUGUAGUUUAAAUGUUUAAUAUCUUAAACCAUUGAAAGUGCAGUUUAUUUUGUGAUCAAGGUUCUGAUAUAGCAGCUUGUUCUUUUUCUUGGACUAAUUCAAUAUGCAAGCAAUUUAAUUUCUCAAGUAAUGUAAUAUAUGCCCCCUGUGUGCUUGAUUCUCUGAACUGAUGAGCAUUCAAACAUUUUCUGAAUUAUUGAAUGGUUAUAGUGGUUGGAUACCAAUGUUGUUAGGAUGCAUCAUGCAUUUCAUUUUGAUUAAAGUAUCCCAUCUUAUUUUGGUGUACGUGAGAGGAUUUCAUCUCCUUGGUUCCGGUCGGAGAGAGACUGCCGGAGCAGGGAAGAGGGAGGCAGAUUGGAUGCCUUCUUUUUGAAAGAAUUGACCGGGGAGGUGGGCUGUGGCCUGUGGGCCAGCUGAAGGAGGGGGCUGCAUGCGGCAUCGUCCGGGCGAGCGUGUCAAUUGUCAAAGCAUUUUCGUUGGGAUAUUACAAUUGAGCACUACCAACACUUUAGUAUCGUUGACGCAGUUAUACACAUGCAAGGACCCUAGGCUACCGGAACCUGCUUGGUAACACAGGUUUGUCUCUUCCCAUAAUCUGCUGAGCUAGCGCGAUUAACCCACUAAUGGUGUCAUUAGUUCAUGAUUAACACACAUUAAAUAACAUUACAGAGUAAUAAGAUCGAUUCAAAAGAAUUGUUGCACGUAUUAACAUUAUGACGAUGGUUGUUCGCACGGAGUACAAGGGGGUGUCGUCCAAAAACUCCAAACUGAUCCUUGUGCUGAUCCAUUUCUCAUCCAGAUUCCAGUAUGAUAUUUUUUUUGUAGGAAUCAAGUACAAGAUUUGAGAACCGGACCAAUUUGGGGCCAUCCUUUGGUGGGUCCAUAUCGUCAGUUUGUUCAGGGUCAAAACAGUCAUUGCAAAUUCUUAAUAAACAGAGCUGAUUUUAAUUAGUGGCACACGAGAGAAGCGAAGUAUUUUCAUGGCACGUGAGGAAAGUGUAUAAAUCUCAGUGGCAUAUAAGGAUUUCACUCUUACAAAUAACAGGAAUAAGACUUUAUCCCAGUGAAAGUAAAAGGAUAGCCUAGAACAACGCUGAAGCUACAAUUGCACAUGUCAAAGUGAAGCUUGAAACUAGUCAACUCACGCAAAAGAAAAUGGUGGCUCCAAGCAGGUCCACAUUAGUCCAGGUCAAUCAAAGUGAAGCUUAUUCAUCUUCGGCCACCAUUGCAAGCCAAUCUGGGUCAAUUAGCUUGUAUGGCCAAACAUUUUCAACAUCCCUACGACGGACUUUUGUAACUUCAACAAUACCACGGUGAUCUUCUUUGAGAAGGUAUUUUCGUGCAACAUUAUAGCCAUCAACAAAACGAAGUCCAUCUUCUGUAUCCAAGUCAAGAGUUAUAGAAGCUACCAUCGGUCUCGGAUCUAUCUUCAUGGACUCAAGUAUUGUACAAACUCUGAGAAUAUGGAGUGCCAGCUCAAGCUGAUCUUUCUGACCAUAAAACCCCGUAAUAUCGACCAUCUUCAAAUGGGUGUGAGGGUGCCAAUGAAGGCUCCUUAGCUCACCGUGACACUUGUGAUACCGUUCAAGGUUACAGUCCAUCCACAUCUGCAAAAGAGAUGAAUAUGAAUUCUCUACAUGAGAGCACCGCCAUACACUUAAAUGUUCUUUCCAUAUCGCUGCGAAAUAUAUAACUUACAUGAACUUCCAGGUUUUCCAUCAAAGGAGCAACCUCCAGUAAGCAGGCUAGGUCAAGGACAUCAGUCCUCUUUUUUCUCAGGGAAACAAAAUUUAACUCCAAUCUCAGAUGUCUUAGACAGAGAAAAUUGAAAGGUUUGUUCGGCAAAGUUGCUCUCUAACAUAGAAAGUUGAUUGAAAAAUUAAGACAGAUUAAACUAAAAUAGGGAUGCACAUGAACAUUGUAAUCAAAACAAUUAUGUGCAGCUCAAACCUUUAGUUCUUGGCAAUUUGGUGAAGAUAUAUGCGAGAGAAGAUCGGAUAUCCGAUGAUUUGAUGGAUAGAUUUCUCAAAGUGCUAGGAGGUGCUUAAAUGAAUCAAUGGGCCUUCAUAUUCAAACGUUAUCAGGCCAACAUUUAACUCUAUAUCUUGAAGCAAGAUGCAAUGUCUGACUUGCAGAUGCUUAAGGUGACCUAAAGGAUGAGGUAUAUGUAGGCUAGUGAGCAUUCUACAACAAGAUAUUCCAAAGAACCCCAAAACGUUGCAGUUGGACAACAUAACUUUAAGUUCAUCACUAGUAAUAUUCACAUCUACUAGCUCAAGCUUUUUAAGGUUUAGAAAAGCAUUGAUUCUUGCUGGCUGCUUGAGAGAAACAGAACCAAGUUUUAUAGAUUGCAAGUGGGAACCACUAGUAGUAUCAAAAAACUGAAAAGGGAAGCUAUAUGGUUCCUUCCCAGGACGUUGAACUACAAAGUCAAAAAUAAGUUGUUUUGUCUUUGAUGCAAUAGCAAACUUCACCCAUCCAUCUAUGUGCUCUGUGUGUUCAUUGUGUAAUGGUGAAAAAUCGACUUCCAUUUUCUCAACCCCUAUGCCAGAGUGUUGCUUUAACACUGCAUCAACCCUCUGAAUAAAAAUGUAUUCACUUAUGGAGAAACGGGGAUCUCCUAGAUCCUUUUUUAUGAACCAAUGAUUUGAAAGAAAACUCCAUGUUUGUGCGUGAACACCAAACAUGUUUCCAAUGUUUCGAUAAUAUGCUUGUCCUCACACCCUCUCUUAUUGGUAAUCGUGAUAUGAUAGAAUGUAAAAUAUCCUGUAGCAGAGAAACAACAGUGUCACAAUUAAUUAAUCAUCUCUAUUUUAAAAACAGGAAAAAACACAUGGUAAAAGAAAUGCAUAGAAAGGAGAGUAGAUGUGUUCUAUAGUCUAAGCACGGUACAUCAUGUAGAGGUAGGAGGAGAGCCCAGUUAUGUAAUCAUAUUACUUGAGUCGUUUGAUAUUUCAUACCAUUGGUAAAUCGCUCAACUGAAGCCUUGGUCUCUUUUCUUUCACCAGUGGUCCAUUCUGUUUACCCUUUGAACUUCUCUUUCUCUUUGCCAUUCAACUGUAUCAACCACUUUCUGUAAGAAAGAUUUGCGCAAGAAUAAAUUAACUGGAACUGUUGCCUACUUGUUUGCUUAUGACUACCUGAUUCCAAACACAUUGUAAUUGUUUUUAAUGAAUUAAUUGAAGCAAGCCACAACAAAUGAUGAGAAUUGAGAAAUCUUAUUUAAAACGUUCCUCUACUCCUCUUUUGUACUAAUUUGUUUUAACACAAAACUAUAACAUAUCCAGUACAGUACACUAUGUGGCCUUUUUAUAUUUGUUACUAGAAAAAAGAGGGAAGCAAACAACUGGAGAAUUGUAGCCGUGGUAUUUAAUAACUUAGUUCUUAGUGCACGUACAAGACUACCGGAGCGCUAAAGUUUUAGCCACUGUCAUAAUAGUAGGGUGCCAGCAGCGUGGAAUUUGCAAGUCAAUGAUGCCUGUGUUGGGAACCAAUUAUCUCCCAAAUUAAUCAUAAGAAAUUCUCAGCAUUGAAACGGCAGAACUGAAAGCGGCGCCCAAGUCAGCUCGAGUUGGGGAUCAACUGCUGCUGCUCUGGAGUUCUAGAUCUGAAGAAUCUAAUUUUUAUUCGUAUAGAGGCCUAGUAGAGAGAUAAAAAGAAAAGUACCCGACUGGAAGUGGUGUCGGGUUGCGGCGGCGAACGGAAGAAGGGAUGCCGACCUGCACCCUGCUGCAGUCGGAAGGCGGCCCGACGACCGCGGGCUGCAAGCAGCAAGGUGCGUCGUGGCCAGGAGCCACCGUAUCGACGGCGUGGAGGUGGACGGAGGCGAAACCCUAGCCAGGGGCUGUACGGCGCGACGACCCGAGAGAGGACGCGGGUCAGUGAGGUUAGAAAGGAUCCGUCCGGCGAGCCCCCUCCUGCAUCAGCGUCCAACCAUGUUCAUGGGAUGAAAAACGAACCCGUUCGGCUAGGUUGAGCCGCCGCGAUCAGGAAAUAACCUAACCGAAAUACAGUAUGUCGCCGGCCCGGCCCGGUGAGGUGCCACGCGGCCUUCUCGCAGCUGACUUUCCUACGUGCCUCGUUGUGAUCCUACACGUACAGUCGCGCCGCGACCGAGGCUCGCCGGCACAUUAGAUGCCCGGGGGCUCGUCAGCAGCGGUGGCAGUAGUGUCAGCCAGGUACUCAGUCAGGUUGGUCGGCCAUUGAGUCCGGUUUGCCUUCGUAGGACGUCGUGCGCUGCAUUCCUUGCCAGAGCCGCUGGCUGCCCGGCUCCGCUCGGGCGGAGGCGGAGUGGGUCGUGGUGAGAGAGACUCGUGACUCCACGGCCGCCGGUCGCGUGAACGCGGGGUUGGGCGACUGCCACACAGCGCGCGCGAACCCAGCUCGGGCCACGACCCACGAGAGGCUCGCCGAGCCGGCGGCGGCGGCGGCGAGGCGGACGCGAGCGCUGCGUCCGCACGCCAAGCUGGCUCCGGUGGCCGCUGUCUGCCCAUCUGUGUCUGCCAGCGACGCGUGCGCGCGCCAGCGCGGAGACUGGACUGGAUAGAGCCCGAGCCGGAGUCGGAGAUGCGCACGCCCACGUCCGGGCCCGCUCCUUUAGACCGUUGCGCGCAGGUCUUUUCUUCUUGCACCCCCGCCCGUUUUUCCCCUUCUAGGCUUCCAGCAUCUUCCCCAUCUACCUUUCCAAUGGGGCAGACGGACGACCAGUCCAAGCGUGCUGCGCGCCUUCAGUAAGAAAUCCAUCCACUCCUGGGCCUUGCCCCGAAACAGCAAGAAAUUCACGGCCCGCUCAUCAUCUCAGCGAAUGGAGGUCGGCCCGUGUGUUUUCUCUCCGAUCCUUCUUCCUGCAGUGUCAGCUUCUUCCUUGCAAAAAAGAAAAAGCUUCUUCAACGACGUUCACAAAGCGCACUCAAUGGCUAGGACGUACACGCACGCGCACUCAAUGGCUGGCAACGGCUGUCCGGCGAGGAGAGCGCGUCGCUGACAUCGAAUCGAAGGCCGGCGCAUCAACUUCGUGUGGCGGUAUGCUGUGCGUUUGCUUGGAACGCGUUGCCAGGGGCGCUCCGGGCUGGCAAGUCCGGGCAUCCGGCCGCCCGGGAACAUGCCCAUGCCGGCCGUUCGUCCGGCGGCGCACCAACCUAAUGUGCCGCGCCCGCGGCGUCCCGUGAGGACGGACACCUCUCAAGUCUGAACUUCCAGGCCAGGUCUCCAUCAUCAGUUUAUCAACCGCCCCCGCUGGCUCCACUCACGCCAGUCCGGGCUGUCGCGCUGGGUCGCGUCGCGGCGCCGACGCCCCCAGCGUGGCCGGGACGAAACGGGACGGGUGCUCGUGCUGCCCCCGCGCGCCCCGGACUGCACGCGGAACGGGAACCCAUGCUGGUUCCGGUGGACCACCCCACUAGCCGAUGGAGAUGGCGAGGUGCCGAGGUGACCACCCGUCCACCCGUCGUCUGGCAGCGACGUGCAGUGCCUCCGGCCGGAGUCUGGACUGGAUAGAGAGCUAAAGCCAAGCCGAGAGCCCGGGACGCGCGCGCCCACGUCGUUUUCCUCCCUUUUCCUCCUCGUCCGGCUCAUCAUUUCCGGCCGCCACCGGGGUCGACCGUUGCGCACUUCCGUCGUCGCCUUUCCAGUUUCUGGAUUUCCCCCCUUCAGCUUCCAAAUCCAGCCGUAGCAGAGGAGGCGUGCAGCAGCCAGUAUCACUGACACCCCUGUGACCUGCACUGUGUUUUCCCUGCUCGUACAUCACGCUGUCAACUGUCAGACGGGCGACGUGAGGACAGAAAACCUGGACGCAUGAAUUUGGCAGGACGGUUGGGAGUUGGAAAAGCGAAAAUCCAUGCUUUUGCCUCUCUUUUUUGUGCAAAAAAAAAAAGAAAUAGGGAAUUCACGAGGUGCACGCAUGCUCGGCAGCGAGGUUCCUGCCUGCCGCCGCCGGCGAGUUCCUCUUCCUCCUGCCCGUCACUCGCUCACGCGCCCGGCGUGCGCGUCCGUCCUGACGCCGGUUGGUUAGGCGAUGGAGUACGGAGUACCUUGGAUCACUCAAAUCGCUCCUACCACCAGUACCACACGCACCUUCACCGUCGCCAGCGGAGAGCCUCAUCACGACCGGCGCCUCUCCCAACCAACCGUGCCGGCCGAUCACUGCACGCGCCCGGCCGCUCGAGUGCCACUGAAGCUGCUCCACCUCGCCGAUCGCAAUUAGCAGGAGCUUAAUCUCACUUCCAUUAAUUAGCACCUGCUCACAUGAGCACGCAGAGGACCUAACGCGUGUGCCUGAAUACUACUAAUCCAGACAUGAGCCACAGGUGCCGCAGCCUUGCAGGGCGCAGAUGGCAUCUGAAUGGUUGGAUUACGCUGUCGCGUGACCUGUCAGUAGCAGUGCUAUGUGACUGGACUGCACAGCGGAACCGGUUCCUCUGCAGUACUGCAGAUAAACUCGGCGCCACCGAGCUAGGAGGCUGUAUGUCAGUGGAACGAGUUCCUCUGCAGUCGUCUUCCAUUUUGAUGGAUAGGUUAACCGUGGAGCAGAUUCAGUCAGCGUUGUGUCGGGCCAUCAGCUGGUGGAGUGGAGAUGAGAUGGGGGCGCAGUACCUGUAAUCUUGAGCCGUAAUAAACUAUAGCCAGUGACAGCCUUAUUAAGGGCUAACAUGAGUGUGAUUAAGAUUCUCCACCUACGGGCGUCGCAUGUGAAAGUAGGAGCGGAGCACACCUCAAAGUGGGCAUCGCCGAUCGGGUAUGCGCUGCACAGAUUGUUGGCCUCAAGUUCUAUUAAUUGUGCGUGGGGCCCACAAUCUGGUGGUGAGUGCACUAGCACAUUGAAUGCUGUUUCUUUUCGUUUCUUUUCCCGGUUUUCACUUCAUGGGAAAGGCAAGGGAAAAGUGUGAAUUAAUUUCGGCAGAAAGGGAGACAGGUCAUGCAAGACAGAAGGUGCUCAUUAGUUCCUUAAUUGUUACAGCUAGAAAGAGUGCCAGUUUCCUAUUUUUCUGUAAUUGUUUUUUUUUCCAUUUAUCCUGGUCACGGUCCUAAAAGUAGCUUUUUUCUAGACGUGAUCCUACAAUUUUUUCGUAACAGCUCUGCGACGCUCCAGGGGAAAUAGGCUCACGAAGCAGUUUUGAUUCGAUUUUUGAAUGCUUAUGCUAGAAGAAAGGCAACAUCCCAAAUUGCUCAUCCACUCCAAUAAAAAAAAAAGAACUCAUGGGACACAAUGAUUUGCUGGAUUUGUUUUUCUGGUAUUUCUGAAGUUUUUUUUUUACAACCAACUCAACACUGAAGAUUUCGGCCUACACUCCUGCCCUCACAAUUCGCAUGGUAACUGAAUCACAAAUAGUGAUUAAAGAACUUUAUUUUCCUAAAGAAUUUACUACCGCCUCUUCUUCCCUCUGUAAAAACUAGGGCAAUAUUAAAACUUCAUUUUAUUUUUUCCUUUAUAGAAAAGCCCUUCAUUUUACCCCUGUUGCCCCUUCUCCUCGCAAGUUUUUUCCACUUGUUUCUUGGGCAACAGAGUGAGGUUAUGUUUGGAUGGGCUAAAAGUAAGAAUUAAAUAUCUACCCUAGUUAUAAUAAUAAACUAAAAAUAUACUAAUUAUAAAUUAAUUAGAGUUAAUGGAAUCUACACACUAAUUAACCACUAUUUGUGCAGAUUUGUUCAUAUUUAGUCCUACCCAAAUUUGAGGACUAAAAACUAACCAACCCUGAGAUCCAAACGGCCGAGACGAGGCCUCAUGGCCAUCUGGCUUCUCAUCACCAACAGCUCACAUUGAUUUCUUCCUUCUCCACUACCUCCACCUAGCCAUCUUCCCCACCCCACCAGGCUGCCGCCACCACCACCUCUCUCUCCCUUCCCCUUUCUUUUUCUCCUCCCUUUCUGAUGCUUUGACGCCACCGCUCGCAGCUUUGGCCGUCUCUGUCUGUCUCCCGUCAUCUCCUCCUCCUCCGCCACUAAUUAAAGCAGAGGCAGGAGUUGUGGGAGAGAACUGAAGAAGAGAACAGACUAGAAGCGGAGGCGAGGGGAAGGAGGGAGCGGGGCGAGAUGUUUGACAGCUUGCUCAACUCCAAGUUCUACAACAAAUGGUACAGAAAUCUUUCCUGCUGGUUCAGUUUGGCGCGUGAUUGACGGGCUUCAGGUCCGGUUGUUAGUUGUUACCCGAUGCUGGCAUGGCUGUUCUUGCGGACAGUCGAGUUCGAAAUCGAAUGAUUUGGGCUCUCUUCGUUCGACGAUUUGUUCAGCUUUUCGAUUUGCGCAAACGAAAGGAGGUCGAAUGUUUUGUUGCCAGCAGCCGCACUUGUUCGCUUGCUUGAAUAUCUGCGUCCAUCGUUCUUCAGUUGCUUGAUCUUUAUGAACUUUCCUGAACUUCCAGUCCCCCCCUCCCCCUCUUUUCCGCAGGAGGUUAUCAGGCCCUGUUCUUGAUUUGUGUUCUGCUCUCCUGUUGAUUGUUGGGGUUCCUACAUUCUCGAUUUGACCCGUAUUUGUUUGUUUUGUGCUAUUUCCCCCUAAUCGCUGGUUUUUUUAUUGAUUGAGCAGCAAGCAUGCAGUCAAGUGCACCCGGACUCGGCUGGAUCUGCUCCGGCGGAAGAAGCAAGCCAUGGUGAAGUUCCUCAAGAAGGACGUUGCUGACCUCCUCUUCAACGGCCUUGAAUCGCACGCCUUCGCACGGGUACUGUCUGCACUCUCAAGGCUUCGACCUGAAUAGUUCAGUGGUCUUGGAUGGAUUUAGCUUUGGUGCGAAUUUGACAAAACAGAAAUAUUUCUCGAAGUGCCGAUGCAGUUGAAAAUUAGUGCUUUGCACGGAGAAAUUUGUGAUGAAAUGCAGGAUCAUGUGAGGGUUCCUGUUGUGAUAUGUUCCUAAUUGCUGUUAUUUGUUUCCCCUGGACUACAGAUGGAAGGGCUGAUUGUUGAGAUGAAUCAAGCAUCUUGCUAUGAUAUGAUAGAGCAGUACUGUGAAUAUAUUGUGAAGCAGCUCAACAACCUGCAGAAAGAGAGGUAAUUGUCACCCUUGUCGCACUCAUCAGUGAUGCACCAAAUUCAUCCUGCUAACAUCUGUUUUACAUCGUUUGAUGUUAUGCACAUGUGCUCUGCAUUUGUUUCUGUUCUUGCUAGGAAGAAAAUUGGAAACAUUAUCAUUUCUUCCAACUUUAAUUGUAAUAUCUUGGAUUUCUAGUCUGCUGUAGCUGAUUAAGAUGGCUUAGACAUCAUCCCUUUUGAACAUUCAGUUAGACUAUGACAACUUUGGUCUAUGAAGUCCUAGCUUAUCUGGAUUGUUUGGUGAUAACUGCUUUACUGUAUAGCUAUUGUUCGAUUGCCUUGUUUAUUCAUACUCAAGGCAUGCCAUACUCCUGUUGUUAUGCAUGUGUCUCAUCAAGAUUGAAAAUUUUAAUACUGAAAGCUCAGUCAAGGUAGUUAAUCAUUGACUUGAUGUUUGCCUUUCUGGUUUAACAGUUUGCAUAGUAUUCCCAAGGUUAUAGAAGAUAUGAAAAUCUCAAAGCUACAUAUUCGCCAUCGUUCAUAGCUGGAAUUGAAACUAUUCUCUUUUGGUUGUGCUAUAUGAAUGAAGUGUGUGUCACUAUCAAAAGAUCUUGUUCUUUCAUCAUUAUUUAAGAUUACAAUAAGACUUUCUUCCUUCUCCAAUUUUCACUGAAUCUGUGAUGUCCUUCAACAGUGAAUGCCCUCAGGAAGCCUUGGAAGCUGUGUCUACUCUGAUAUUUUCUGCUGCUAGAUUUCCUGAUUUGCCUGAACUGUGUGACCUCAGACAUAUAUUCACGGAGAGAUAUGGGAGUUCGGUUGAGCCUUUUGUUAAUUCUGAGGUGCUUAAAAUUCUUUUUCUUUCUUAUGUGUGAGUUGAUCUCCAUCAUUUGGAACAUAUCAAUUAACUUAACCUUUGUGUUAACAGUUUGUCCAGAAGCUUCAGAAUAAAUCAUUUACUAAUGAAGAGAAGUUGCAAGUGAUGAAAUCCAUUGCUGAAGAAUUCUCCGUUCCAUUUGAUAGCAAGGCACUGGAAUGGAAGAUAACUUGUGGACCUCAAAAUAAGCAUGUAUGAUCUUAGUUAACUUCUUUGCAUUAUGUAAAUAUAUGCUCUCCUUUUUAUUAACUACUCAGCCUAUGGGGUCAUUCAAUUCUAUUUUUGACAUUCUUUUUUUCAUCAGGAUCUUCCGAAGAAGAGUUCAGUUAAACGGGAGGUAGAAGCAUCAGCACGAAAUGGACACAAGGUUGAUAGGCAUGCUGUGAAUGAAAGAAAAUCUAACCCUGUGGCUGAAAACUAUGGACAGAAGCAGGAAAUGAAGACAAAGCCCAAAGAUAUCCAUGUCAUUCCUGAUGGAAUUGGUCAGUUAGGUGAGAAAAGCAGGAAGAACUACUCAGAUAAACCUAGUGAAAAAAGGCACAUGGAUAAUUCUUUGCCUCCUUUGGACGUGAAAGAAAGGAAUGGCCAGAAAGAAAUGAAGAAAUAUGAGAAAAAGGAUGAUCACCUUCGAAGGGAACUAAGGAAUGCAGAGGAGUUGGACCUCAAUGGCUUAAAGAAACAGGAUGGUGGUUUAGUGAAACCUCCCAGUGGCACUGAGCAUAGUUGGGGACAUGCUGACUUAGGGCUUAAAACUCUGGGCCUAGAAAAACAUGAAAUUGAUUCAAGUUGCACCUUGAAUGGUAAAACAGUGAAUAAGGCUCCUCCUUAUUCUAAGCCCUACAGAGCAACAGGUGAGAUGUCCGCUGAAGGAAAUUCUAACAGUUUGUAUGAUAGACGAAAGCAUGAAGGAGAGUUUGGACAGUCGAUGCGAGAUAGGCAGCAUGUGCCAGAGAAGGCAGCCAGUAUGCGGCCUCCUUAUGUUAAGCCAAAAUUUGAAAAGCAUACUGGUGCUGAAGAAAUAGGCCACCCGAAGGGUGAACCGGUUUAUGAUCCUGUUUCCGUCAGAAGCAGGCAUGCAAAACCACCUGCACAUGCUGAUGAUUAUGCCAGAAUGGCUUAUGAGGAAAAGAUGGCAGACCAAGCACCUGAUGGCCGAAGAAGACAUUCAAGCAGGAGGAAUGGUGCCUAUGACGAUUAUGACCAGAAAGUUGGUCAUGUGCUACCCCUAGAAGUCAUGGGGGGCAAUGAUGAUAUCAACAAUGCGAGACCUUUUCACCGAAUCCCUAGUGAGCGAAGAAAGCACAGAAGCAGGCGUCAUGGAUCAACAAGUGGCAGCGACUACAAUGGGGCCAUUGAUGACCACGAGUCAGAUGAGGACGAGGCGAACACCGCAAUUGAUUUUGGCAAUCUUCUGCCCCGAGCCCCUAGUUCACACAGGAAGCACAGGAGUCGGAGUGCUGAUCCCCGCAAGGGAGGCCGUGACGAUGAAGAAAGGAUGAUGGAUAAGCUCCUCAUGCAUUACAGCAAGAAAGGUCUAGACAGGGAGGAGCGCAAAGAAAGAGUAAAAUCUCGUAUCCCCCGGCCUCGAGCUGACCGACCUGCUGAUGGUGCUGCAGAACUAUCUAACAAAGAAGGGGUGUCUGCAAACCGCCCUGAAAGAGCUCUAUCUCUACCUUCAGAAUCUGCAAGCCCAAAGGCGAAGCCAAAGGCCCCUGUUCGGUCCAUGUCCAUGCAGCCAGAAAUUUCUAGAGGGAAUGUGCACCCACCGGAUUUCGACGAACUGGCUGCACGGAUCAGCGCGCUGAGGAACACCUGAGCUGCCACGAUACUGUCUUCAGCAUGGCCUCUAUUCGCUCAGGAACUUAUAUCAUAGCAUCUGAGAGCUGAUGGUGCCUGGGGUCACUGGAUUGAGAAGAGGACAUUUGAAAUGUGGUUGCCUCCUAUUUUUUGCAACAUUUUCUCAUGGUAGUAUACUUGUUUGUGUUGCUCUGAGUGUAAUCUUGGUAGAGCAUUGGCAGGAAAGUUAAAAAUGGCAAUUCAUAGGAUACCAUACCUUACUACAUUGAUUUGGAUGUGGUUGUUUGUUGUACUCAUAGAACAAUUGUUGUCGCUGUACAGAUGCCAUUGAUGAGGCUAUAGUGAUAAAGUGAUUUUCUACAUCACCGUUGAGUGCUUCCUCCAUUUUACAAUAUUUUUACAACCUCACUGUCAGCAUACACUGGAGAAGAUUAGGCAUUUCUAUCAAGAUACCAUAAUAAUUGAUCUAAUGACUAAUUAUACUUAGCUGCCAACCGUAUAGGAUUGUCAGUUUUGUCUGACGGACCACCCAUCAUCAUCUGGAGCCAUUUUCUUCAGCAAAAUUAGGCAGCAUGGUUGCCGGAUUUCUUAUUUCUCCUAGGAUACGAAGACCAUGUGACGGUUGCCGCACAAAACGGUGCCGACGUCGAUAGGCUCUGGUAGCAGAGCUGCCUAAUAAUUCUGCGCACGUUCCUCUGGAUUCCUGAUCAAUCAUCACUGCUACCUAGUAGUAUUCUAUUUUUUUCUUGGAUCUUCAAAACAAUAUUCUAGUAGUUGUACUAAAUUGUCAACAGAAACAACUACCACUCUUAUUUCCAUUUCGCCCGUCUAGACAUAAAAGUGGGACAAAUUUUCAUGCUAUUCUUUAGUUCCUCUGUCAUUUUGAGUCAAAACAACUGACGAACGCUUGCCAAACUGCUCUAUCAUCUCAUCAGUUUGUCAAAAGAAAACGGCAAAUCUAAGUCAGUAGUGGGUGGCGGCUUGGACUCAGGCCGUGCACAGGACUGCAGGUGCAGCUAGCAGGCUAGCCCAAGGACCUCAUGACACCGACGACGAAAUGCAGGAUGCAAUCGUCGCCGCCGCCGUCGAGUAUGUCGUCGCAGACCAGCCGCUCCAGCGCGGGGUCCCUCGGCAGCGCCCCGGCGUGGUACAGCACCGUCGCCGCCGUCGCCGUCACCGGCCGCGUCGCCACGCAGGCCGCCAGCCUCGCGAACGCCCGGAGGAACAGCGGCAGGAGGCCCUGCACGCGCGCACGCGUUAGCUGACGGUUGCUCUCCAUUCGCGCAGCGUGCUCCUGCGCAAAAAUGCAGUGAAAACCACGUGCUCACCAUGGGAGAUCACGGCCGAUCAAAUGUGCUCGACGAUGCAGCAGCAUGCGCGUGAGACCUGAAGCCUGAAGGGUUGGUUAGUGCGUUGCUGAUGUUUAUAUAUAUACAAAUCGGUAGCAUCGGAACCAUCUGCUGGGAGGUUUGGAGUUGCAAACGGUUGGCGGUGGCAACGACGGGCGCCCAUUGUCGCCUUCGGUGCCGGCCGUUGCUCGCUUGUCUCGGCACUGUGCUCUCUCCAGUCCAGCUCUCGGUUUUGGACUCGGCUGCUUCCUCAUAUUCUUUGCCUCUGCGUCCUGCUUUCCUUGCGUGCCUUUCUCCUCGCCAGGGUCGCAAAGCCGCCCAACGAUGACAGCGACCGGGGUUGUUGGCAUCGCUCGAGCCUGGCAGCAGGAAAGCCCUGGUCAGUUCUUCCAGAUGAAGAAGUUCAAGACCGGUGAAAUCUCAUCUUGUGCUAUAGCUUGUGAGACUAUGAUCCCCUCUCCUGAGUUUUCUUCCACGAAGGGCCUCGGAUGGAUCCUUGAUUCCUUGAUACACUACACAAGGUAUUGCUGCAGUUAGCUGCGAUGAAGGUUCCAGUGUGCCAUUAUCGAAGAGGUUUCCAAUACUAUACAUAUAUUCAAUGCAUAAAUACAAGGUGUAGUAUAGCACGAAUUUAUUUUCUGCUAAUGUUGCAUAUGUAUAUACCUGAGAUAGUAUAUGAAUAUAUGACCACCUAUACUACAUAUGUUCAUAUGUUCCAAAAAUUGUUUUAAAAACCAGGAAGUUUAGUUAUUCACCACCUUAACCCUUGGUGUCUCAUGAAACGUAAGAAAUCAAGUGACGCCUACCCUUAACUUUUUGCAAGGCGGCAGGAAUUAAUUCCCUGCUAACAAUGCAUAUAUACAUUCUAUGACUGACAAGGAUUAAUUUCCUGCAAGAAUGUGGUGAAGACUGCAGUAUGGCAGGAAUUAAUUCCCUGCUAACAAUCCAAACACGCUAGGUGCAGUAUAGCACGAAUUAAUUCCUCCCUAAGAUGCAUGCGUAGCAGAUAUUGCCUGAUUUAACGCGUCAUCCAUGAGAACGCCAAGCGUCCCCCUCUGAAUCUCUCUCGAGCAUUGCCUACAAAUAGGCACACUCGGUGACACCAAUCAACACCAGCUCUCUUCUUCCUCACCAUCAAGUGGUUUGAGGCCAUGCCUCGCAACGCCUCGGCGAUGUCGUCCAUCCUCCUGAUUGUGCUGCUCUUGGGCCUUGGUAAGCAUGGAUGAUAGUCAAGGACGAUCCAGCAAUUCAGCAGCUCAAGCACCUCACCAAAUGAUCAAACAAUAAUCUGACCAUACUAAUGCUAGCAAAUUCUUCAGUCUGACUGCUAUGUUGUUCUUCGUGUAUGCAGGUGGCCACACUAAUGCUAGCAAAUUCUCGACGCUGCACUACGAUGUCCAGCAACCGGGAGCUGACGAAAGCCCUCGUGAGGAGCACCUUCAAGAAAAACUUGCAACCAUCAUGUCAUACAAUCUUGACUGGGCCUGCCUUCCCAAUGAUCCUUCCAACCCAAAGUGCCGCGCGAGCAAGUUUUCCUGGCCUGAGCUGGUGGGGAGGAAGGGCAGGGAAGCAAAAGCUGUGAUUCAGAGGGAGAAUCCUUCUGUCGAUGCUGUGGUUUACGCCCCGCAAGACGCCAUUGUUACGGACAAGUACUGCUGCAAUCGUGUUAGGCUCGUCAUGAACUGUGAUGCUGGCUGCGACUAUGAAAAUGCUACGGUGUUCCAAAUCCCAAUUGUUGGGUGAUGAGCAGGUUAUUUUGUUGUUGGGGGGUUGCAAGUGCAUAUGCAUCCUCUUUUUAACUGCUGCCACAGCGAGCAUUCUCCAUUGUGCAAAAAAAGAAAAAAAAAGGAACCACCUGAAAAGUCUUGGAUUUUAGAAAAUGCCCCAAAGAACAAGUUGUGUACAAGAGAUGCAAUGGAGGCAUUUUACUUGUCAAGGAGCAAAAUGAUGAAGGAAUUCAAGAUGAGAGUUUAUCAUGGCGUAUGUCAAGAAUAUAUUGCAGCAGGUUGGCACGGCUGAUUCCAAGCUUACUCGAUAUAGAAUUUAGGCAUUGGAAGAUCUAAAAACCACGUAAAAGUUGUUCUAAAAAUUAGGAAAACUAAUUCACCCCCUCAACCUUUGGUGUCUUAUGAAACUUGAGAGCACUUUGUUGGCAGUUGCACGCAGUGCAUGACAUGGGCUGGACCGCACGGCUCAGGUGCCUGCGUAACGGCCCAGUCCAGCUACUUAGAGCCUUCCUUACCUGCUUCCUGUUCGCUCUCCACGCGCGUACGCCGCCGACACACGACAAAACGAGGCAUAAUCAUCGUGCGUGGAAUCCGAGCCAGAAACCUAAACGAACACCUGAUCCAAGAUUCCAAGGGUUCUAGUCGCCUACUCCGCACGUCCUUGGCUGUAUAUAUACGAAGCAGACAUGCAAACCCUCUGGCCCCUCCCGUACGUCGCCACUGGAUCACGUACGCCUUUUCGAUCGAGCAAGCUCUUGGUCGUCGACGACGACGAUCGCCAUGGCGGGCGGGAGGCAGGGCGGCAAGCAGAAGCCUCUCAAGGCCCCCAAGGCUCCCAAGAAGAAGCCGCAUGCAGACUGAUCUGGAGAACCAGAAGAAGAAGAAAGAGGACGAGAAGGCCCUCAAGGAGCUGAGGGCCAAGGCGGCGCAGAAGGGCCCGCUCGGAGGCGCCGGGCUCAAGAAGAGCAGCGGCAUAAAAAUAAUUCUGAAGACUAGUGUAUGUCUUAUUUCUGUUUUCAUCAGAAGAUAGAAAGAAAGAGACAUGCAUGGUGCCUCAAUUUUGUGCUGGUCUUGAUCUUGCUGGUGUAGAAUCUCGUAGAUUACCUGUCCUGAUUCUGAAAUUUUCUUCAGUUUCGUAUGCCUCGUGUGGUUUGUAUGAAGUUGGGAACGAUACAGCAAUUCGCUUAGAGACCGUUAUUUUUAGGUGGUGUUUGGAUCCAAAUGCUAAUGGCUAAAAGUGUUAAAGUUUAGCACUAGUCCAUCUAAACAGGAGUGCUAAUAUGAUAAUCUAAACUUUAGCCAAGAUUGAAAAUUUAAGAAAAGAUAUUCAAAUACUAAUAUGUGCUAGAAUCUAGCACUCAACUUUAGCUUAUCCAAACAGGCUUUUAAUCCUCCUCUCUAGUGUUGGUAUCGCAAAGAGGACAGUAAUAAGGUAUUAGCAUCCGGAACAUUGCAAAGGUAACAAAUCCGGCUCGUGUAGACCAGCUAGCUAUGACGCUGCCGGCCGCUACUGUUGCUAGCCAACGACCUCCUUGCUACGAGGCAGCUGGAAUCGCCUACUUCUGCACGAGCAUAUGGCGGACCGAGAGAUUGAAAGCAGCCCGGGCGAAGCGCAGGUAACUCUUUCUUCUCAUAUCUGGCAGAGCAGAUGGGCAAAAGAUUCUAUGGUUAGCCUCUGGAUACAGAGGCAUCGGAGCCCGGGCGCCCUGGGUCCGCCGCAUACGAGCAUGUCUGCCAAGCAUACCAUGUCCGCCACACUCGAGUGUCUCCAUUGUCUAUGGGAGUGAGGAGGCCACACGCAAAAACUUGCGUCGCUCCUGGCAUUUUCACUUGUCCUGUGAAAAAGAAGUGGAGCUCGAAAAGGGGCUCUAAGCAACACGCAUCAAGCAUAAGGAUAAAGCAGUCUUGAAUCGAUAAACAAUCUUUCAAAUGCUUUCUAGUUCCGAACCAAGUAUAUCACGUUCCGCAGUGAACAUCGCAGGUGGCCAAAGCAGAUGCUCACUAUAACAAAAUGACAGAAUUGCUAUUUCUGGAUCUAUGCUGCAAAGCGUGCACGCAAUCUGCUGCGAUAAACUGCCUCGAGAUUCAAAUAUCCUAAACCUCAGAAACGAACAUGCAGCAGCUAGCGACCCACAUGAUCUUAUGCGUCAGUUGGUCUUUGUUGACUCGGACAAAAUUCUUGGGAGAGAUUCAGAAAACUAAGGUGCCAUUGCUGAGUGCCAUCUCAACUACUUGUGCUCUUUAAUUUCUUUAAUGAUACCGUCAGCGAGGGAAUCUGUAUCAUAGUUCUUGCCGUAAAACUUGACAAACUCCAUCUUUGGAUUCAUCAAGUACCUGAAAGUAGAUGAACAACCAGUCAGUGUUUUGAGAGGGCAUAUCUGAAUCUUCUCAGUAUCACUAGCCACAUGGCAGCAGAAGAAUAAAUCAGAAGCUUCUACAGUUGCAAUGAGUUUGGAGGGGGUACUGAUGGAGAAUAUAACAAAUCAGAAUGUGUGCAUUUUCUCAGUAUCAGUAGAUGGUGCAUGGCAGCAGUAUUAACAAAUUAGAAGCCUCCUACAGUCCUUAUGAGUUCAAAAGGAAUAUAUCUGUCAACCACUUAGUUAAUUUGGGAUUCAGGCAUUCCCAGUAUCGAGUCUCUAAAGCAUCCAAACGAGUGUAUAUCAUAAGUAGUUCCUACUGGAUACCCGUUGGAGCCCUGCAAGAUAUAUUCAGAAGGGUUCAUAUGCAAUAGAGAAACUAACAGGUUUCUUCAUUUUGCUAUGGAUAUUGUAGAUAUGCCAUAUCUUGUAACAACGAAAUAACUAGAACCAGAAUCAUCUCAAUUGCAGAACAUUAGCAAAAAUAAAAAAUAGCCAAAGUCAUUGUCCAGGAGAGAGGAAGAUUAAAAUAACAUACAUGACAAUUGAGUGGUCAACGAGAUAGUCAGAACCCUCCUCCUCCGUCUUCAUAUAGUAAACUCGGUAAGCACGUGCAACUUUUCUUAUCUCAUCUGUUGUGCCCGUUAGUCCUACCAGAUCUGGAUGGAACUCUGGGAGACACAAAUAAUUCAUCAAUAAUAGGAAAUUCAUUGAAUAAGAUGAACUAAUAAUAGUUCAAAUAGCAACAAUCUUUAAGUGAACAUAAGCAUUAGGAAUUGAGGGACAUAAGUGCACGGACACACACCUUUAACAUAGUCCCGAACCUGCUCAACAGUAUCUCUUUCAGGAUCAACUGUAAUGAAAACUGGCACAAUAUCCAAUUUUGCCUUUUCCUCUGCAAAUAACAACGGAGUUUAUUAAAAAUAUGCUAAUUUAACUGUCUACUAGCUCUAGUUAGGCACUUCAGCGGAAUUUUUCACCAAGUGCUGUUGUAUGUGCAUUCCACUUGCCCAUUCACCAUAUUACUUUGUACAGUAACGUGCCUUCUAGUUUCUAGGUGACCAUUUAAAGCAAGAUAACAGUGUUCUUAUACAUACCAUGAAGACAUGAAGAUAUAUCAAUAGACAGUAAACAGCCAAUACAUGACCUAGGAAGGUAGUUAUAUCCAAGGAACAAAAGAAACAUACUAAUUUUGUCAAUCGCUGCAGCCAUUUUCUGGAGCUCAUCUGGACAAAUGUCAGGACAGUGUGUGAAUCCAAAAUAAAGCAGAGUCCAUUUUCCCAAGAAGUCCUUUUCAGUGACAGGCUUCCCAUCAUGGUUCAGAAGCUUGAAUGGACCACCAAUGGCUGCAGUGCCUACUGAUUGUCCAGGCUUCACAGCACUUGUUCUAUUCUUCAAUUCUGGGGAAGAUGGAACAGAAAAUAUCAUGAAAAAAAUUAAACAGGAUUCAAGGAGCUGAUGCCUUCCUACUAUGCUGAUAAUACUUCUAAAAGGCACAUGUCCAUUUGUACAAUCAAGUAAAGUUUUGCGACAAUUGCUAUAAUAGCAAAUAGAGAUCUGAUUCUGAACCAGGAAGAUGGUUUCUUUUCAUAUUCAAUGGUGUCAAAACAACAUACAAAAAUAUAUCAGAUAUGAUUAGCACGGAGUCCUCUAGCAAUUGUUCCACUGGCCCUAUAGUAUGGUUUCUGAAUUUUUGCUGAUGUCAUGAAGAAGUAUGACAAGAGCAACAGUAGCCACAUAUAUACCGUUUGUUCAACAAGUUUAGUGUCCCGUUCAACUUUUGUAUAUGUGUCCUUGAAACCCAUGCAUAUGCAUUUACAAAGAAGUUAAAAACAGCAACAAAAAUGCCAGCAGUGGUUACAGAAGAAAAUGCAAACAAAACAUUGGUCUUCAGCUUAUUGUCUCUUAGUGUAGACUGGGACCAAAUUGUUGCUAAAAGCACACCAGUUUGUGGCAGGGAAAGCUUAGGCAGCUGGCAAGGUUACGGCUCUCCAUUUUGUAUAAACUGACUUGGAAGAAUUGACAAGAAAUGUAUGAAAUCGCCAAUUGGUCCUUUCUUGCUCCAACAUGGCUGUCACAAAUCCAGUAAGCUAACUCUUCCCUUAAUGAUGAUUUCACUUAUAAGUACCAUAUGUUUUCCAAAAAGAAAAGGAACUUUUCAGAAUAGGAGAUGUGUGCUCUACAUUUUUAUAGAACUUGCAUGAAACGCUGAAUAAAAAAUAAUACAAUGCUAGGGAUGUAAAUUAGGUGCUAGCAGAAAAAAUAAAAGCUCUAAAAAUUCCUAUUUCGGCACUCACAAUAAAAUGGGAUUAGAACAAACAUGAGACAAUGCAUUUAUUGCGGGAAAAAUGCAUUCCAGAACAUCACAUUCUAGUAAGUAGGUAUACAGCAAGGUGCCAAGGUGCAGCAGCAGCAGCACUCAUGCAGGGAAAUUAGAAGGCAUUAACAUGGGUAAUAUAUAAGACUCAGAAGCCAAAUUCUCACUAAAAAAAGAUUUGGAAACCGAUAAACUAUACUUCUCGUACAUUUAAAUGUCACUUUAUACCAAUCAAUUCACAGCCAGCAUGACACUCGAGACACUUCAGUGCACAUGUAUACCACACGCACCAAAACAUUUUUUUCCCAUAGCAACAUUCCAUAUAGCCAUGGCAUAAUGUCACAAAGUGUAGCCAGAAAUUUUAAGAUGGGGUUCAAGCAUUGGAUUUUAUUAUUAGACAGUUCGAUAUUUAUAUGGACUGAAGAUAUGGUAUAAUGAAGGUAUAUACUAGGUUAAACUGUUUGCUUUAACAUAAUUUUGAAAAUAUCUGGUGAGUCAAUUGAAUCCUGUGAACUAUGAGAAAUCCACUCACGACAUCAUGAACUGCUUUGGCUUAUUGGACCAGCAUAACCUCUUCAAAUUUGGCUAACCGUGUUUCCUCCAAUCAAUACGCCAUCGUACCAACACGGACACUACGAAUAUUUUUCUAUUCAUAGCUAGAUACAGUCCUAGCAUCAGUCAAACAACAACACAAACUCACCAUAGUAAUCUACCUUCAAUGUGACGCUUCUUUUCUUUAUCGUAGUACACAAUUAUCCCUCCUCCAGUCACGAGCAGCAGUAGAAAACUGAGCCAGGACACCGGCUGCAAGGAAGUGACAAGUGCUUCUGAAUUAGCAUUCAGAAAUGGCCUAACAGUCUAGAAACAAUAAAUGCCCUAAGGAAAUGAGAAAUUGGUCUCUUGUUAGACGCUACGUACAUCACUACUAAUUCGUGCCGAAUGAAAGAUUUCAGAGCAAUUGUGUUUAUUUUCCCCUGCAUAAGGAGGAUAGAGUACGAAUUGGGAUUACAAGCCAUAACUCACCCCUCCGCGGACGGAUUUUCCGGCGUCCGCUUGCUCAGAUUUCCCAGACUGCCCAUCGCCGCCUCCAUCCCCGCCCGUCGUCGCCGCCGCCGUCGCCGCGGGAGGCUUCGACCCGCCCUGCGCCGCAGUCGAGGCGUCGGCGGAAAAGAAGCGCGCGCGCCCCAGGAACGCCGCUCCGAACCGAGACUCACCGGGCCCAGUGAUCUGCAGCACGAACAAAACCAAACUAAUCACGACCCGGCGUCGCUACCAGAAGGGUGAGAGAAGAUCCCGCGCUCGGCGGUCGCCAGCGACGAAGAGAAAGGCGCUGAGGUACCUGAGGCAGAGCUCGAGCGGGAGGAGGGGCGAGGCCGGGAGCGAGCGCCCGCGAGAGGAGCGCGCGGAGGUGGGACACGCGCGCCCUCAUCGUCGACUCCGCCCGCGCCGCUUCGCCGGACCGGGAUUGGAUUCCGCUGCGGGAAGGGCAACGGGUUGCUCCGCGCCGUCACCUCGUGGCUCCGGCGGCGCCGUGGGUUUCAGAGGGGGUUUUCCAGCUGCGAUGGUUUGCGAAUGCUUUGCUUCUUGUGCAAGAAGAACGUUUCAGUUUCACGAAUCGCAACCCAGGAGGUUAAGCGCGUCAAGCAUCAUUAACAUUUUACUGACUUGUAACAUGUCUAACGAUUAACAUUACUUCAAAGAGUACGUCCUUUGCGUGUGAGCCUGCUUCAAUUAACAAACCUAUUUCGCAAAACUUUCUUCUUAAGUUGUCAAGUAACAAGCAUUACUAACAAACGAAAGCAAGGGUAUACUGAUUAGCCAUCCAGUCAAAAGUUUAAUUUGGAUUUGGUUGGGGUGCGCCAGGCCCUGCCAGCAGUGCAACGGCUGGGCGACGCUCGAGGGCCCCAGUGGCAAGCCACUGUAGUGGACCCUCCCCCACAAAAAAUAAAUUUAAUAUCGAAAUGGGCACAUGGCCCACAUAUCAGAUAUUAAACUGAUAAGAACAGAUACUACACUUGAUCUUAGCCAAAAGGCCGAGAAAGGUAUGAUUUGGGAUGGAGCCCUGCGCCUAGUUUUAUAGCACGCUCGACCGCCUCACCCGCCUUCAGCUCGCGAUGUGGUACUAUCCGGGAAACCAGAAGCGGGGCGGAGGGGCGCUGCGCUGCGGCUCCCUGCCAUUUGGGUUUCGGUGUUUCAUUACGGCCCAACUUGGCGGUAUCAGCCCACAUGAUCGGACGGCCCAGUAAUGCGACUUCUAGAGUCGACCGGGCCACUUGUGGAGCACGGGCCGGCAUUGAUAUACUCUCUCUCACACACAUACAGGUUUUGUCAGUGUCUCACGCCAGUACGCCGCCUUCAUGGUGGCAGCGAUGCCAUAUGCUAGUAACAAGCAGUGUUUGGGUUAUCAACUCAAGCAGGUCUUACUUCUUUCUAACCUUGCUUUAGGUCACCUCGUCUCUCAAUCUACAGAUUUUGAGAAGGUAGUUGCGACACCGCGACUCCCUAAAACGAGGCCGGGAGCUUUACCGACCUAAAGUUGAGAAGAUAGCACGCAAGAUUUACCGAACUGGGCUAAAAAUAUCGAACCGAGGAUGCUUCUUUAUGCAAAUGGUUCCUGAGAUUGGCAGUUACCCAAGUCCUGUUUCGCACUGCCGUAGGCAUCAGAUUCAUAUUACUCCCCAGAUUUCAGUCAUGGUGACUAAGUCCUGCUAACUACGAGCAUGUUCGGCUUUCAUUAAAGAACAUCAUUUCUUACAUGCCAUCGUGCUCGCUAAGGCUUGGCUUGAGCCGACAAAUAGGAUGUCCACCACAGCAGGGAAGGAAUUUCUCUAACGACGGCAAAAGCGACUACAAGCUUACAGGUAUCAGAUUCCUGUGACAUACAAGCUUGCUGCAAACACAAUGUCACGCUUGAUAGCAUUAGACGCGACCUCCAUCUUCUUGUACAGCGCAGAGUUCCCCAUUAUCGAAGCCGCGUUCCUGAAUUCUCUGCAUGUUUCAUCCAGCCGGACGAUUGUUCUUACAAUGAGCCCCUCGGAUACAUCUGUCAGCUCACAUAUGUCCGCAAAAGGAGUUCCCUGCAUUGAAGCAACAUAAAACAGCAUUACAAUCCAGCAUUCAUCUUGGAGAAGUGUUACCAUUACGAUGUGUAUACCUUUGCCCACUCGUAGACAACCUCAACAAGGCCAAACUUGAGAUUGUCACGUGCAUACUCCUCAGGAUCCACAGGUACCUUGAACUGUGCUUGGAGCGUUCCUAGUCUGAUCGCGGUAUCAUAAAGCCUAAUACAGAGAAAAACACAAUUGCAAAAGGUGCUUCAAACAUGUUUUCCAAGGAAAUACAACUGAGAUUCUUAAGAUGGAUCAUGACAGGAAACAAAAACAUGAUAGCAAAAGGUGAUUGAAACAUGUCUUCCGAGGAAAUACAACUGAGAUUCUUAAGAAGGAUCAUGACAGGAAACAGAAAAGGGGAGCAAAAAACUAAAAAUCUAACCUCUUUUUGGCUUCAGUCAAUUUUGGAGUAAGAGAUGGUUCUGAUGUAUUCCUCUGCUGGAAGACAAAUGCAGACAUAAUGGCCACGGCUUCUUCAGGUUCUAGGUCAUCCAAUUGAUUCUCGAACAGACAUUCUGUUGAUAUUAGCUCCUCACCGGAGUUCAUUUCACAGGCUACUCGUCCCUUAAGUUGCACAACUAGAUCAGAAUCAAUGUAGUUGAUUACCUUUAGUAAAUCAAUCUGCAAGGAUGGAAAAAUUAAAGUGUUAGAAAAUAACUUAAAAGUAUAGAAAUGAAAUCAGAGGUGGUUCACGGAAUGAUAUUAAAUUCUUGAAAAUCUGAUAAUAGCCAAUAUAAGCAUUCCACGUACAUUCACCUCGAUCUUAAUGAUUUGCAUGCAACUUUGUGAUCCUGUAUGGAUUGGGUAUAUAUGAAUCAUUUAUCUAUUAAGCCCAGCAUUUAAAAUCGAUAAUUCAAACUGUUGUUCCAGCACAGUAGGACUGGGACCAAAAACCUCCCAUAUGCACCAACGCAAAGCAAUUGAAGAAAUGACAAUAUCAGGUUUUUCCUAUGCUGCAGCGGCUAUGAUCCCUUGACCCGUUUUUCUUCAUGUACACAACAGGGCAGCAAGAGGAAAGAGUACAUGAAGAAGUCUUACUCUGCCUUGAAACUCCGGCAUCUGUUGAAGCGCCUCAUCUGACAUUUGGAAUUUCAAUUCAUUCAGCUGAUCCUUGUACACCUUUUGCUCCCUCAUCAAUGAUAUAUGCUCCUUCAGUUUUAUACAACCAUGACACUUGUUUUCAGACAUUUUUUGCAGUAGUCUGUGAUAUGCAUGGUAGCUUUCAACAAGAGACAUGCUCUUCAGAUUUAGAUCUAUAGCACCAAAUGACCACAUCAAAUAGUUAUACAGUUUACAAAUCAACUGAAGGAAAUCAGUGUGCUAAUGUUAUAUUCAGAGCUAAAAAUUAAAUUAAAGGGUGAAAUACACCAGAGGUCCUUAAACUUGUUCCAGAUUCUCUUCUUGGUCCAUAAACUCCGAAGUGAGCAUUUGGGUCCUUAAACUUUUUAAUUGGUUCAUUCCAAGUGAGGUCUAGGUACAUAAUUGGACCUGAAGUGAACUUAGAAUGAUCCACUUGAAAAGUUUAAGGAACCAGAUACCCACUUUGAGAAUUUAUGGACAUAGGUGAGAAUCUGAAAAAAGUUUAUGGACCCCUGGAGUAUUUCUCGAUAAAACAUACUGCUGAUAUUACUUGAGAACUUCGCAGGCAUGAAGGCCAACACACCUACACCAUUAUAUAAUUUUUGAACCAAAAUUCCUAUUUGAUAAUGCUGUUGAAUUAUUGUGUCUAACCCACUCAUCCCCCUAAAUCCAGGAAAAUAACAGGCUAGGAAAAAUGUCAGGCACAGUAUAAUGUAAGGUACUAAGAUGAACAUAUGGAACUUCAAGUUCAACAUCACUUGGGUUUGAGUUUUAAAUUCGGAUGGUUCAGCACAACCUAUUUACAGUUGUACAUGGUCACAUAUUUUUACCAUAUUCAUUUGGGUUUUUCAAAAAUCCUAUCUCUUUGGUCACUCAAACUUUGCCUGAUCCAAACAAACGCUUAGGAGUUUGGUGGUAAGUAUAAGCCACGAGAAUGCAGGAAAGCACCCAUUUACACUGUCCAACUUACAAGAUUGACAGAAUCAUAAGCAAUCCACUGUUUUAAAUAGCUGACUCCUUUCCUAGCCAGUUUAAACUUCAAUAAAAUAGCACAAAACAAAUAAUCGAGCCAUGCAGAAAAUUUUUACCUUUUAUUGCAUCUAAAGCAGGAGGAUACUUAGUUCCUUCUGGUUGCUCUUUUAUAAGCAGUUGGACAGUUUUGAAGUAAGCAGCUUUGCUACCGUCCUCAAGGAGUUUAACUUGAUCAAUCUUUAUUUUACUGGUGCAUAUACUCAUGAUCUCUUUUUUCUCUAUUGCUCUUACUUCAAAGCCCAUUCCAGAUGCAUCCCCCUUGUAUGGUAGGGAGAUUUUGAUAACACCUGAACCUUUUCGUGAGCUGCCGGAAGAGUAAUAUUCAUCAUCCAUGCCACGUUUUCCUUUCGGGGUAAUAAAGCGUCCUUGUUGAAAAUCCCCAGGUUCCUUUUCAGUUUUAUUGGACAGCUCAGGGGAUAAUGCAGAUGAAGUGCAAUCACCAGUCAAUACAAGAACAAUGUAUUUGUUUAGUGCUUGAGAUGGACCUUUCAAUAUAACACCAAGCAAGUGAUCAUCAUCCUGUCAAUAUGUUCAAAAGUCAUAGGGUUUUAAUGUGGAAACUGGAAAGGAUGCAACUAUAGCACAUCUAACAGUAUGUGUUCAAAAAAACCAGUCUUGUUCGAACAUAGGGCUAUGGUACAAAUGAUAGAAUGAUAGCCUCCAAAAAAAUUAAUAGAACCUUCCGAAGUACUUGCUUAAAUUUCCUGGUUAAUUUUAUCCUAAGCAUUUAAAGUGGAGGUGCUAAGUAAAAAGCUCACGGAAAUUUAGAUCGGCUUGAGCAAAGAAUAUUCUAAGAUCAAGCUUGAUUUCAAGCUCAAGAUUGAUCCCUAGCAAGCUAAUAUCAUGCUUGUGUAUGCUAAAGUCACAUGAUUUUUAGUGAUUCUUUUGGAUUUUGAACUCGGAUGUUUGAUGCUAAUUUAACAAGAGGGUUUAAACUUCAAUUUGGAACUUUAAAGAAUGCUUUGGUUUCUUCUAAGCUUCUCAUAUUUCUUUAUGUGCUACUUCUGUAUCUUGCUAAAUGCAUAUAGAAAAUCUAAAGACCCAAGUGCCGAGCAAACUUUCUAUUGAGUUUUUAACAGUUCGGUGUUGUGAAAUGAAGCAAUAGAACUAUGUAAAUAAAAGCAUUGCCAAAAGGAACCGACAAACAAAGAGGAAGUGUGCAAAGAGAAAUCCAAAUAUGAUUAAGACAUACAGUUUCAGAUUUAACGACCACCAAUCUCCCAGGCAUUAGGAACUGUUGAGCACUGGACGACUGCAUAAUUGCCUCUGUUAUACAUUCCCUAUGCGCCUCAGCUUCUAAUGACAUCUCAUAGUAUUCUUCAAUUGAAGGCUCUCCUUUUAUGCACCUAAUACAAGAAUAUAUAUAAUAUAAGGCAAAGCGAUAAAAGAAAAACUAAGUUCAGUGCACACAAAUACUGGAUACUACACUUUUAUCGGUACUUCAGAUAAACAAUGAAAACGUAUCAUAAACUGCCAUUGCAAAGAAAUUAUAAAAAUAAACUUGUUGCAAUUUUAUAAAGAAUGGAAAAUGCCUACAUCAGCAGGCUUCUCAUCCUUUGGGAGCUAAGGGCAGCUCUAAGCCUAUCCACGUUCAAUAUCCACAUCUCUGCAUUCGUGGAAUCAAAUCAUCGUCGCUACUCCUAGAGUUGGCUAUGAAAUAAUUGCUGCUAGCCUACUAGAUUGCUUGUGUAUUCAUUAUUGUCAAUUAGACAAACAUUUCCACGGUCCAUAUGAUUUAUUUAUUUAUAUAUAUAUAUUUUCACCUCUUCAUUGUGCCAAAGCAGUGGUAAUUACAGCCUACAAAGGAUCGUGGUUCCAGAAUUUGCCUACCAAAAUCACAAAUAAAACACCAAUACUUCAAGCUUUAGCUUUAUAUGUCAAAUGAAGAUUCACUUCUUUAUGUUUCCAUUUUUAUGUAGAAUUUGGAAAUUUGCUUUUGAAGUUUUGGCAUCUAUUGUAUCAAUCAGGUAAACAUGUUAAUGUCUCAGAAUCUUACUCUAUUGUCUUUGUAGGUUGACGAAGCAUUUGUAGAAGUAGCUUUUCCUUCUCAGGCAAAUUCUUUUGUGCAUGGAAUUCUGCAAAACUUCUCUUGAGCAUGUCCUCAACCUAUCAGAAAAAUCAUCAUUGAAGUAUAUUACCUUCCCUAUGCAUGAGGGCCUAUUUGUUUGAGCUUCAGCUUUUUGAAGAGCUGAUUCUAGAUUGUGGCUUUGAAAAUGCUGAUUUCCAAAAGCAGACUAUUGGAGUGCACAUGCUCAUAAAAACUGGAUACUUCUAGUGACAGAAAAGAGUGCCCCUGUCGCCCUUUAAUAGUCAAAUUAGUAUCAAAAGGAGAAAAAAUUUAACAUCAAAAGAGCCCUGAUAUAUACACUAUUGAGCAGAUAAUACAGAAAGUUUAUCAAAGACAGCCUUGGAAGUAAACUUUGUUAAGGCCUUGAGGGCAGUAGCAUAAUAGUCUGAUGUUAGUGCUUCACCUGAUGGUUUGCUGCAAUGUUUUUUUUUUUUGAAACAUAUGGUUUGCUACAAUGUUAUGUUUUAGGAAAGACUUCAGUGGCAUUUCAAGAGCCCAAUGGGCAACCAUAUGUAGCUAAACUAUACAGAAAACAAGGACGUUACCACAAAUACUCCUAACCGACACAUACUAUUACACAGCUACCCUUGACAUGCUGAAAUUUGGGAUGCCUUUAAUUCAGAAAUGCUUCUAUCACCACACGCACACACUUAUUGAUUUAAAGUAUUUUAAGGAAGCGCAGAGGCUGAUACAAGUACUGCCAUAGGAACAACAUAAAUGUCUUGUCUAGUUCUGUUUUCAGUCCAAACUCCAAAAAUUCAAAUGUGGACCUGUAAGACUCUAAGAAAUGUGCAUGGAUGCCAACAAGUAUAAGUGUUGAUAGGUAUACCUUCAGUUCCUCCACACGUAGAAGAUGUAGUAUCAUAGUGUAUGUUAAUCGAAAUUGAGAUUCCAAUCGAGUUGGUUUUCCAACAAUCAAAUUUUUCAAAUCACUUUCUUCAGGAAUUUCAUCACGACACAUAAUGAUCACUGUACCAAUGUUAUCAAGUCCUCUCCUACCAGCUCGUCCAGCCAUUUGAAUAUACUCCCCUGGAAGCAAUUUUCGGUGUUCUUUUCCAUCAAACUUUCUUAAGGAAUCAAACACAACCUGUUGGGUUUACAAAAACGCACUCAGAGCUAGCUUCACAAUCCUGAGCUUAAAGGCAUGGAAAAAGCAAGUGCAACCUAAGCACAGUUAAAGUUAGCUCAGUCCAAAAGUGCACAACGAAACAAGAAAUCAAAGCAUGCAUCUGUGUGUCUCAAACAUCUAUGUUUACAUGAGUUCUCUUUCCAACAAAGAAACACUGAGCAAUGCAUCAUAUGUAACUGUGAACAGCAAACAACAGAAUAUGUAGAAAUGGAAAUAUGUAAACAAAUGUUGGUAAGAUUAAUGCAUAAAAAGUUGGUUUCAUCAAGGCAUGUUGAAUUAAAGCAUGCCAACCUGCAGUCCAUAGUGCAAUCAUAUAAAUUAGAUUGCUAUUUGCGCUUAAAUAUCCCUGUAGCAGCUUCCAAUUUGGAAGAGAUUGUGUAUCAACAGGAAAAUGACAGGGAUUGUGUUCCCAUGGUCGAAAAAAAACACAAAUAAAAUUAAUAAGUAGACAGUGGAAUGCAAGCGGUACCACCUAACAUAGAGUCGAAUGGUAUUUGGUAAUAAAAAUACUACAGCGAUUUAUUCAAGAUACAAAAGCCUUGAAAAUCUUUAUUAGGCACAAAGAAUCUCACCGUUCUUGCUGGUGCAUUAACACCCAUAGCAAAUGUCUCAGUGGAAAACAGUACCUGAAAAAAGUUCAAGAAAGUUAAAAAUUUACCAUUCAGUUAAUUAAGACGCAAUUGUACCACAACAUGCUAUAAUUGUCAAAGGAGCGUUAAAAAAAAGUAACUUUUCAGGAGCAACUGACAACACUGCGAUGUGAUCACAAACAUAGUUUCUCUAUUACUGUUUCAAGUUAAUGGACACCUGCAGCAACUUUGGACAGGACAGGAUGUACUUAAGCCAGUGAUCAGCAUUUGCAAUUUUUUGUUCUAAAUCUAGUAAACAUCCAACAGUCUCAUAAACUAGAGUUCAUGCAUGGACUCGUUUCCUACGAGCUUCAAGAAGUGAAAUUACUAAGGCAAACGCCAUCAUGAAAAAAAAAAGGAACAAGCUGCUGCAUCGGUUAGUACUUAGUACAACAGCAUCUAGUAUGUAAUUAAAUAUGCUACGUAUACAAGUUACCAGAUGUUCAAAGCAUAACCUUGAUUACGCCACGACAGAAUAGCAUCUCAACCACUUCCUUCACAAUAGGGAGAAGCCCAGCAUGGUGUACUCCAAUUCCUCUUCGUAGAAAACUUUGUAUUCCUACAACCUAUCAAGGAGGUCAAAGUUUAAAGCACUGAUUGAAGCAAAGGCGCACAGGAUACAGCACUAAAAUUUAUGAGGUAUUAGAUCACCUGUGGAAGGUUCCUAUCAGAUCCUUUAAGGCGCGAAAAUGCCUUGUCACAGAAGACACGGAUUUCACUUUUCUCCGAACUACUGGUGAGAUCAGUGCCAAACAUGCUAUCUGCCGAUUUAUCACAACGGUUCUUUGAGAAACAAAAGAUCACCACCUGCAAAAGGACCAUCUAAUGAUCAGAUAAACACAUUUCAAAUGUGAAAUGACAUGGUAUGAUUAUGAUAAAAAGGAAAAGUAGAAUCCAUAACCAAAAUGUUGAGUAAUUGUCAUUUUACAACAUGUUGAGAUAGGCUUCAGCAUACAAAUCUAGGGUAAAACAAAUUCAAUGUAAAUGCUGAACAAGAAAGAGGUCAAAUAGAACUAAUAAUGUCAUGAUUGCAUGAUAGAGAAAACAGAAAAGUUAUACUCUCACAUACAGGCACAAGGGAUUUCUUCAGCAGGUUAUUCACAAGUGGCAUCCAAAAUGAAGAUUCUGAUCUCUUUGGCCCUGAGGAGCUUUGUGAAACUGCUGCUGCUCCUGAAUUGGCAUUGUGGUGCUUUGGGUACUUCUGAUCUCUCCCCCUGCUUGAUGUAUCAGGAUUUUUGCCUUGAAUUCCAGCACGUACUGCAGGUGUUCCUGAUUUUGGACCAGGUUUCACUCCAAGCUUGUUAGAAUUUUUCUUUUUGAAAGCAUCCUUUGCUUCUCUAAACCCUUGAGUAAGAAAGGUAUCCCUCUCACAUAUUUUGUACAUUUCUCCAGAAUAGAACAAGCAAUGCUCAAGCGGAACAGGCCUUUUGUUAGUCCUGGUGAACACAUAAUGACAGUAUUGUGCAAUCAAAAUUAUAGCUGGAGGUAUCCAAGCAUAUUCAAAUUUUGCACUUUAAGGCAAAGCUACACUAUCAGCCACUUAACUGUUUGGCCCUCUGCAAUCAAACCCCUAGUCUAAUCUUAUUUAUCCAAUCCCCUAUAUUAUCCACUUAUAUGUAAUCAAGUCCCUUUAAACCAAUCGAUUUAAUUUGUGCUCCUCAACCGAUUUUGUUUAGUUAAGCAUGGCCCUUUCAAUUGGUGCUACUCAGCUUUAUUCAACUUUGAACUAAUGCAUAGGUGUCUGGACAUUAAGUUAAAUCAAUCAAGAUUUGCAUCUUAAACUCAAAAUGUUAACUAACUAAUAUUGGUCUAAAUCCUCAUUAAAAAAUAAACUCUAAUAUGCUGCCAGGUUUUGGCUUAUAAAUGUAUCAUAUUUGUGCAACGUUAGCAAUCUGUUGUAAUCUAAAUUCAUUAAUCAUCUAUAUUACAAACAGAGGAGAGAGCCUUUUCUACAAUCAUCUUUCAUAGUGUACGGGCAAUCAUUGUCCUUGGAUCGCAUGCGUUUACUUGCGAAAUUAUUUUCAUAUCCUGAAAAAUUCAAGGCCAAACUAAGGUCGUGUUUGUUUCAGCUUCGGAUUGUGGCUUUUACAAUCAUAAGCCGAAACAAAUAAGCAGUCUGUCACCCCUGAUCAUAACCAAUUAAUUUCCCUCUUAUACAAUUGAGUACAAGAAUGCUUCAGAACCUAGAAAUGAGUUGUAUUUAAUGGCUACACCACCCUCAUAACCUGUCAUAAAAAACAAGUAACUGAAAUUUAUGAUUUUUAAAAUAACAAUUCCCCGAUAAGGUAGAUUCCAUGUACCCGUUGACUAGCAUGGAGAAAGGAGCUAAUUGGGUAAUUAGAACCAACCUGGUGGCUAAAGCAACUGAUAAUACAGUUCAAGGGCCUUAAUCUAAUUAAUUAUCUUAAAAUACGUACUAACAGCACUUACGACGUGACACGAAUUUUCUUCUGCUUUGUUCGACCAAUCCAGUCAGCAAAUUCAACUGUAUUUGGAACCUGAGAAGAAACAAUUAGGGUUCAACUCCAAACUAAAUUUGAACCAGAGAAAUAAUAUAGAGUUCUCGAACUUUAUUCAUAACAAGCAAAGAAAUUCCGACUACUGCAGUGCAUUAAAAUGGUAAUUUUUGCAUCAGAUUAUUGUAUUAAUCAUUGUUGAUAUUUAGAGGACCAAUUUUCAGUUAUUUUGUUUCCAUGUAGUCCUAUUUCAAUUUGUGGUUGAAUACUAACAGCCAAAAUUUGGACAAUUAACAUCAGAGAAGAUGUCACUUUAGUGCAUGAGUAUCAGAAAUCAGGGUGAUAACACUAUAAGAUCAAAGUCACAUGCUAUAAACUCGGCCAAUCGCACUUCCUAGCAAAAUUCACCUAAGGUCAGAGUUCUGCAUCAACUAUUUCAAAAGAAUAAAAGAUCAAAAGCGACUACAAAUGGCAUUAGCAUGCCAUACUGUCCUAGUUAUUAUUAGGCAACUGUUUGAACAACCAAUAGUGUGCACUGUGCACAGAAUGUUUGGUUGAUAGUGAGCAUAGUGGCUCAAGUGCAGUUCUCAUUAAAUCCGUACCGUUGCCGAAAGGAGAACAAUGUUAAUGUGCUUCGGGAGCAUUAUAAUAACUUCCUCCCAAACUACACCUCUUUCAGCGUCGUUUACAUAAUGCACUUCAUCAAAGAUUACCUGAUUGUACAAGUAACCACACAUCAGCACACACUACUCCUUAAGAUUAUAAAAAUGAUAUUCAAAAUUAAAGGCACAGAGUAAUACACAAUGAUGCAGAAUUGAAAUGGCUUACCCAUUCAAUGUCACGUAUAAUGUCCGCACCUCUGUAGAGCAUUGAGCGCAAUAUUUCAGUAGUCAUAAUUAAACAAGUUGCCUCUGGCCUGAUGCUGACAUCUCCUGUCAGAAGUCCCACAUCAAACUUUCCAGAGAAAUCUCGGUAUUUCUGGUUGCUGAUAGUUUUAAUAGGAGCAGUAUAGACAGCCCGAGUACAAUGCUGCAUAACAAAAUUAUCUGUCAUCAUAAGACCCAUGCUAACAUUUUCUUUUUAUCCGGUGCUGGUUUAAGCCAACUAUUAUGGUAAGCAACGAGAGAUAGUGCACGGAAGUAUGUAGUCUAAAGCUCCAUCUACUAACAAAACUACAAAAGUAACGGUGAAAUCUUAUCAGAAACUAAGAACUGCACACUUCUCAAAGGUUAAGUUAAAGCUUUCCCUCCUAACAGAAGCUGGGUGCUGAACAUCACAGUUUACAAGCUAUAAAUGUGGAAGACGUUAGGUGGUUUCAAAUGAACAGAAGUGCCCAAAAAAAGAAGAAAGAGCAAAGGCAGUCAUACUUUUGUUGCUAAAGCAAAUGCAUACUCGGCAACAACUGUCUUUCCUGCUGAAGUAUGGGCUGCAACGAAGACUGACUCACCCUUCUCAAGAUAAUAUAUAGCCUGUGCUUGGUAGACAUAAAAAAUGUAUAGAUUAUCAAAUUGGCAAUUAUACCAAGCAUUUAAAAACGUAUUAAUUUCAAAAACAUAUUGGUAGGUGAUAGCAAUUAAAUGCCUCCUUGUAAUACAUAGUUCGCACAGGAAAUAUAGAGGAAAGGAAAUAUCUGUCCACUUGGUGUUUCCUUUCAUUCAAAAUUUCUGUGGUAAUCUUGUAUUCCAGUUCAAGGAAGGACAAGAUAAAGAGAAGACUGGACAGCACAGAAAAGACAGAAUAGCAUCGUCGUUCAUCAAUUUCUUAAUUGCUAUUCAAAUUGAAAAAAAAAACUCAGAAGUAUGAAAGCCAGUGACCUCAGCUGGGAAGGACAGAAAUUUAAUCAGUAGAGUCUUUUGGAAGGACUAAUGAUUCCUAGUAUAAUUUGAGUGAGGUUUUUCAGAGUUCAGGUUAACUUAGAAAUUCACACUAUGGCACAUAAAGAAAAAUGGAGAAACGGCAGAGCAAGAGGUUUAGAUGGCGAACAUUGUUAGCUCCCAUACAAAAAAAGCGGGAGUAGUAUUCUCAACACAUCUAUAGUGACUAGAAAUAGCCACUCUAACUAUCCUAAGUCCUAAUAAAAUCUUGUCAAGUUCAAGUUGUGACUGAGUAUAUACUAUCAAACUAAAAUUGCAGGCCAAGCCUGUCAAAUAUAUACAAAGUAUCACAACCACAAAUAUGUAGUAUGAAUGUGCCUAUCAAAGUUCAUGUAAAAGGAGCGGUGUAUACUCUUUGGAUGCAGUAGUAUACUAGAUGCUGAGAUAAGUACUGAGAAGGCAUUAAGAUAGAAGGCACAGAUGAUUAUGAGUACCUUACCUCCUUCUGGAACUUAUCUAAUUCAAAUGGAAAGUCGAUUGCCAUAUCUGGAACGAGAUUGUAGAAGUUAGUCACAAUAUCUUCGUCCCCACCAACAAGUGCCCAAACCUAUAAGUGAAAUAGAGAUACAUUGCCGUUAAAGAUUCAUCCAUGAUCUAUCUUUAGACUUUAGGGAAUUGAGAGACCACUUUCUGCAACACUAUCCACCCAUGAAGCUUAUGGAAUGAGAAGCACAGCAUACGAAGUGAGAUACAAAACGAAGCAUAAAGUGUGCCUACCUUGCCAUCAUGUGUUGGCUUGUCAUCACCUGAUAUACCUGAUUCUUUUCGUGUAUCUUGAACUUCAGAAGAUAACAUUUGAUCCAAGUCUGUUUGAGUUUCAGGAUCAUCCCUUAUAACAUCUGCUUCAUGAUUCUCGGCGUCUAGCUUUGUUAUAGUCUCAGAAGCACCUUGCCACACAUCAACUUUUUGUUCGCCAACUUCUGCCAUCGGAAAAUGAAAAUCUUAACAAGAAACAAUAAAGAGUUAACAAAAGCACAGAAAUGCAAUAAUGUCAUAGUAGCAAUAAUGGUGAUGACAGCCCAUAGUCUCUUAGCUAUUACAAUUUGCCAAGAGAAUAUGCUCAUGCGACUUGAACAUAUACCUUUGGUUCCCUCAUCUUCAGCCGAUUGUUGAACACCACCCUCCUGCAAUGCCUUGUUGGCAGCAUCUUCCUCCCACGCUAUCUUGAAAAGAUCAUCAAACUGCACUGAGUACUUCUCCUGCAGGAAAAUGGGAUAAUCAGACUAUAAUAACUCUAGAAUGGCAAAGUAUGCAGAAAUGUGGAAUGUUGCUCUAACUACCAUUGCGUCAUUCGAUGACGAUACAGGUUGCUCCUCUACAAGUUCUCCAUUCCGGAAACACUUCCAUUGGCUUUUAUACUCCUACAAGAGAGGUAUAGACAACCGCAGUCAGUUUGGCGCAUCCACAACAAUCCUUACGGUUACAUGGCAAAAGAGAGAGAAAUAUAGUAAAGGACAAACCUUCAAUUGGCCCAAUUCCAAUCCCUUGCGGAACCCCGGAGGAGCAACCUGUGCCGGGCCACCAGUCAUAAGCUCACGCAUCCAAUCACCGUUACGCGCACCCUCCGGGAAUGCCUUCUCCAAUGCAGCCGCCUCAACAUCGUCAUCCUGUAGACCACCCGGACGAAAGGGUCUGUUGUUGAUGCUCCCCCUGACGAAGUCCUUCGCCGGACCAGGCAUCCGUGGCGCCAAACCCACGGUCCCCGAACCGAACACCUCGCCCAUCUCCAUCUGCACGGACUCAGGAUCCCACACUUGCGACUCCAACGCAGGCUGCGACGUUCCCCGGCCGCGCCGGAAAGGCGGCUCCCAGGCGGGCGCGAGCACUGUGCGCGGUGCGGAGGGCUCCAGCGGCGGCCUGGUCAGUGCAAACCAGUCCACGUCCCACACCCUCCCGGCAUCGGCCGCGGUGGGGAGGUGGAGCUCGGGGUUGAGGUAGUUCGCCUCGAGGUACUCCUUCAAGCUGCUCGGGCUCCCAGGCGGGUAGGCCGGCGGCUGUGGGUCGUCACCACAACAAUGGCGGGUUUAGGGUUUACAGAUUGCAGAGAACAACACGGGUGAUUUAGGGCGGAAUUGGUGGGUCGCGUACGUACCAGGACGAAUUCGGGAAUGGGGCUGGAAGGGUGCGGGGUAGGGUCGAGGCGGAGGUGGCCACCGUGGCCGGAGAAGCUGAUGCGGAACGGUAACUCGCUCGCCGGCGAGGGGGCAGGGCCGUCCAUGGAGGCGCCUCGCGGCGAGGCGGCCGUUUCCGUUUCGACGAACUGCUUCAGAGUUCAGAAGCUUGGAACUUGAGAGCCUGCUUGCAAGUUCACAGCGUUUCGGUCAUGUCCUGGAGAAAUCAUUACCAAAAGAUUUUGACAGCAUGUCAACAGGGUAAGGCUUGUUCCAGGUCAAAAAAAAAAGAUCACAGAUUUUUGCCCCUUCGUUAAGACCCGUUUCAAACCAAAAAUCCCCUUUGAAAUGCUAAGAUUAUUAUGCAUAAACCAAAUAAUUUCCGGUGGAAACCAAUAAAAUCCCCCCCCCAACCCAGUACGGAUCAAGGUUUUUUUUUACUUAUGCUCUUCAUAAUGGUCAAGGCAAGUAUGGAAUUCAGUAACUUUAAUAUCUCCUCUUUCUUUUUAUAUAAAAUCAUAAAGUUCAUAACAAAUCCUUGUACGUAAAUGUAUCUGCACGGAGAAUUAGUACUUUUAGUAUUUGACCUCUCAAAAACUGUACGUAUGUUUCACAUAAGAACCAUAAGUAUGAUUUCAUUUUCACGAGGAUCAAAGAAAGAACAUGUUAUUAACCUCAUCUUGCACCUAAUGGCAUCGUGAAAUUUGCCUAGUGAUAGUUUUUUUCUAUAAAUUAAAUAAAUCAACAUUUUAUUUCAUUUUCAAUUAGAGUAGAAAUCUUAUCUGGAGCAUGAAUUAUUUGCUCCAUCACAUAAGAGUUUGAGCCAUGUGAUAAGUUUUCAAGCUUACAUGGUCCAGGCUAUUGCGGUUUUGUACGGUAACAUGGCUUCCGAGUUUUAAUUCUAGAAUAUUUUGAACUCGACAUCUUGCAUGAUCGCUAAAGAGUAAUGUUCAAACCUCCUUGCAUACCAUGGCUUUUAAGAAAAAAUUGUGAUGAGUUGUUUGGUAGAUUACUCAAUUUAUCUUCAUCUGUAAAGUAUGAUAGCAUCAAUGACACCAUUGUUAUGAAACCCUUCCUAGAGCUCAAUCGUGUUUGUAACUUGUUGUAGUUUAAUUUGAAAAAAAUCCAAUUUACUACCUCCAAAUAUAUGGUAGAUCCAAAUAACCACCUAAACAAUAAAAUGGUUUAUUUAACCCCUAGUUUGCUAAACCAGAUCAAGACACACAUUUAGUACAUAUUUGAAACCAUUGUUGAUUAGGCGGAAUUAGAAAUCUAGUUUGCUAACUAGGAUCGACAUGUCAGCAGCCCAACGUGGCACGUAUAUUUAUGUUCAGAUCACCCCCUGCCUGACAAUACAUAGUAUUACUCAUGUUCUUCCUCAUUUCUAUCCGGUUCGACAGUGCCCAGCUCCACCGCCGGCGGCCGCGAGGCGCCGGCACAGCGGCACCCUCCCGGCACUGUCCUGUUGCCGCUUGGUGCAGAACGCCUGGCUUCACAGCAGCCUUUGCCCCUGGGCGGCAUCUGGCUCUUGCCUCGCCACCGCUUGCUGCUCGGCGCACGGCUGGAAGAGCACGAACUAGGAGCCGUUGUUUUUGGGGUGGUGUCACUGCCGGCUCUAAGGAUCAAGCGACGCACAUCCUCCACCUCAUGCUGGGUAGGUAUUCGAUGAAUUGUUUCUUUAGUAAAUAUUUCACUGACGCAACAAUUUUUAUAGCCUGAGGUUGCCUUGGCUUGUAAUUUUGUAGUAAAUUGAAUGUACAAAUUUCAGUUUGUUGUCUUCUGCUACUUUAUGGUCCAUUUGGAAACUGAUUGGACCCAAUCUCUCUCUAGAACUUGACAGCAUCGAGCAACUUUUGGACCCCAUGGUCAACUCUACCAGGCUCUUUGCUUAGUAUCUCUGUAUCUGAAGGAAGAACCGUACAAUGCCGCACUGAAGUGUUCCAAGUGACAAUGUACCACUGAAUUAAACCAUCAUAUCCAGGUAACUAAUCAAAAUUAAAGUACAGUGAUUUACUAGACUACCAGCUAGCAAUUAUUACAUCGAAAUAUAAGGAAUCCUGCCAUAUGCUACCAACAUAGCAUGUUACUGCCUGGAAGUUUUUUUCUUUUGCUUUGCAGCAGCUAGUUUCUUCUUCUUGCUCGCAGUACUGUUGAAGCUGCUCUGGGAAGGCAUAUUAGAUGCCUCAUCUUGAGUGUUGCCUGGAGCUGCUGCAUUGUUUCUGGACUUUUUUUGGCCCACUGCACUCCAAACCUGGAACAAUAAUUUCAGUUAACAACACUUAAAUAAUAAUUAAUUGUAUAGCAAAAGAAUGAGAAAUGUUACUUGCCUCUUUGCCUUUCUCCAUGAUGUUUCUCUUCUUUGAUUUAGACUUUGCUCCACAUCUUCGAAUGUUGUGACCUGGUUGAUGACACUUGCUACAGUUACCUCUCGAGCCCACCCUAGAGACCUUUGUGGCCUUUUUUGCUUCACUAGGUUCCCUUCUUCUCUCCUUUCUCGGCCUACCUGGCAUCUUCACAUAGGCUGGAGGCUUAGGCUUGCCGUGACCUCUUGGCCACUGUUGCAUUCCCUCCAUUGGCAUCAUGCAGUGAUCAUAUGUCUUGUUGUAGUGCUCAACUGAAUAGCAGUCAGCUAUGUAAUCUUCAGGUGGUUUAGAACUGAGAUAAAGUGCAGUGAUAGCAUGAGCACAAGGGAUACCUGCCAGCUGCCAGUAUUUGCAAGAACAAGUUCUUCUCUCUACAUCAAUUUUGAACCUCUUGUCCCACACUUUCACCUCAAAGCCAUCCUUCCCAUUCCAAAUUGCAAAGCAUUUCUGUGCAAGAUUAAUAUACUUGUUCACAUGUCCACAUGACUAAUUCACCACCUACAGCCUUGUAUAUCUCGGCAUAAACUUCAGCUACUUCACCCACUAUGAUACAAUCAGACAUGUACCUGCAACUCUGAUCAUCAGCUAAGCUCCUCACACCGUUACUCAUAUCAGCUCCGGGGGGCAGCCAAUGAAAAUCAACAUCCUCAACUGUCAAAUUGACAGGGUCACUAAGAAAACCCCUCAACUCUGGCAGUGAUAGCUUAUCCCUCUCUAUGUGUGACAAUGCAAUUCUACCACGCACAUAGUUCAAUGAGUAACCAUCAAAAUCAAAUUCGCCUCCAAAGUGAAAUCUUACAGGCACUACCUCCAGAGGGUCCAUAUCCCCUGUCCAGAAUUGUAAAAAGCAAGGUGUAUAACCAUCACAUUUUUUCUAGAAAAAAAAAAGAAAGUGAAAUCAGACCUGAGUGCUCCGUGCUGCUAGCUUGAGUACUAAUUAUAUUGAUCCACAAGAUAUCUAAUGACCACGUUCUUGGUCCCUACCUAAGCAUGAUGGCCAUGGUCAUGUUCAUGCAAUUAUCCCAACAACCAUUAAUAUCCCUCCUCACGUCAUGACACAUCAAUGUGCACAAACAAAAGAUCCUGCUCCAGUUUCUCUCUUAACUUCACGGUGCCAUCCACAGUUUCUACCUGUGCUACGAAGACACGUCGCCGGCUGCUACCUUGCAAAUACACAACCCUAGGUAUCCAAAGUCCUAGCCGCAAGUGCAAAUUAAUAUGUCAUAUUUGCAUCACACGAGGGAGAUUGGAAAAUGGAAACAUACCUGCCCGUUUUCGUUUGUGCUGAUGAACUUGUUCACUCCUAUAUCAUUCACCUAGUUGAUCUGGCUGUGUCACGCAGAAACCGAAGGCGAGGGCCGGCGGCCGGCGGGCGAAAUAAAAUUGACGAGCGAGAGAAGGGGAAGACACGGGACGGCCUAUUUUGGAUCUAAAGAUACUUGCCAUGUAUGGCUGCCAAGGUGUCAGUCUUAGUCAUAAAAAACCGGCCAUGUCAGCAAAUCUGGUUUUAGAUAUGUGUAAAAGGUGUGUUUUGAUCUGGUUUAGCAAACUAGGGGGUUAAAUAAACUAUUUUAUUGUUUAGGGGUUAUUUGGACCUACCAUAUACUUGGAGGCGGUAAAUUAGACUUUUUCCUUUUAAUUUCGAAGGUGCCUUUUUAUCCCUAUUUUGUGUUGUAAUAUAUUUCUAAAUUUUAGUAGAUCUAAGACCGUGAAAGCAUUUCUGAAGACAAAUGCACAUGAGUAACUUGUAUUUUCCAAACAGAAAUGUAUUUUGAAGUCAUUGACGUACAAGCUUUAAAAAAUCUAACCAAAUGGAUUAUUUUAUAAAAGGAAAAAAAUGUUUCCUAUAUUGCAAGGAACUAGUUUCCAUUUCUUUCCUAAAAGUUUACAUGGCACAUGUUUAUAGAUUGCAAAUUUUAGUUCCCUUCUUAAGGCCUAACACAGCAAGAUAUAUUGAAAAUAAAGAUGCAUAGCCUGGACAUAGGCACGUAGCAAUAAAAACUUAACCGAUAGCACUACAAAUAUCUUCUGCAUGUCCGAAUUACCAACGAAGGCAUGCCCAACUCCGAUCAGAAGUUUGAAAACAAGGCAACGAGUUUUCAAAAUUCAAAAGAGUUUAAUUCACAAGACGAAAGACAAGGCCUAUGGUUAAUUUAGAGAUCCUAUAUUACCGGGUGCUCUCCUCUCCUCAAUCCCAUCGCUCUCCUUGUUCGCUCCGGGCUCCCACUCCGACUCGAUCCCUUCACAAAAACACCUCCAUAUGCAUGCACCUCCUCACCGAUGCUGCCGCAAGUCGUUCCGAAUUCGUCUUUCUUUCCCGGAGCUCAUCACAUCUCGAGCGCGCGUUGAAUUCCUGAUGCGAGGAUAGGAAUCGAUCGACCUGCAGCUUCCACACACGCGCCGGUGCAGCGGUCUCUAGUCGGCGUCGGCGUCGGCGUCAGCUGGGAACGCCGCCGGCCAUGGCGAUGUCGGCUUUGUCAACGUCCGCCCUGAGCUCUCUGGAAGCGAUGCUCCAGUCGCUGAUGCGAGGAUCAGGAGGAGGAGGCGGCGACGACGACACGCCCGUAGACGACACCCUCGCCUCCCCGCCGCCGCCGCCUCUACCCGCACGGCCGACCCCACGAGGCCGUCGUCCCUCGCGUCGCAGAGUCCGGCCCGCCGCGGCGGCGCGUACAUUGAUGUCACCGCCGCCGUCGUCGUCGCGGUCACCGUCGCCGUCACCGCCCAAGGUUCCACCCCCCAUUAACGUCAUCAGCAUUGUCCAUUGAUUUGUCUCAAAUGAUCCGUGAUCGCGAGAAUUAACCAGCCGCCACGCAUCUGAUGGCUUGCGUUGGCUCAUUAUGGCAGGAACGGGAAGACGCUAGGACGGAUGAUGUCUCGCUGCUGGUGGAGGGGCUGGAGAGGAAGGCGGUGGAGUUGGAGGCGCAGCUGCGGCGCCGCAGCGAGGAGGAGAACGCCGCGCUGAAGCGGCGGAUGGAGAGCUACCACAUCCGGUGGCUGCAGUACGAGAUCAGGAUCAAGUCCCUGGAGGAAGCCUUCCACGAACAAAUGGCCGCUCUGCAGGUUCGUCGGAGUCCUGAAUGAGCACUGCAAAAGUUUUGCACGCACCGUCGACAUCCCAGUCUGAAACUCUGAACGCGAUGAUCCAUCGUCUUCUUCCUCGCGUGUCUGUGUUGAUGCAUGCAGCUGGCUCAGGACGCGGCACGGAGGGCCGAGGAAACGGCGGCGUACGACCACCGCGAAUCCUCGGAACACCACGUCGACGCGCCCGAGGACCCGCCGGUGAGGCUGUGGCACGGCCGGGACCGCAUGGUGGUGGGCGCCAGGCGGAGCGCGGUGAGCCGCCUCGGCGCGGAGUUCCGGCGCCAGAGCCACACGCUGGAGCGCGGCGCGGAGGCGCUCGUCGCCGAGGAGCCGGCGGCGGCCGCCCCGAGCGGCGGCUGCCCCUCCUCCUCCGCCGCCGACGACCUGAAGAAGCUCAAGGCGCAGUUCCGCGCAUGGACCAAGGACUACAAGGCCCGGCUGCGCAGGACCAAGGCCGAGCUCGGCAGCAGGGACGCGCGGCGUCAGGGCAGCUGCUGGAUCUGAACCUGUCACGUAUGGAGUUCGUCUAUGAAUGAUGGUGUGAAAUUUUAAUUCAGAGAUUCGACGAAUUUCAUGAAAUCGAUUCAAAUCUUGGAGUAGAAAUCUUUGGCAACGUUGAAUGAGAUGUAGCCGUACAAAGAAUUCAAAUCAUGCGCAUGCUGUAGCCGUUCAGUUGUUCAACCACUGGAGUAGCAGCUGUGAGUAGCGCAGGAAGACGAGAUAAAAAAAUAAGUUUGGCUUGAUUUCAGGUGAGGAUUUUACCGGUCUACGAUUAGGGAUUACGUUACCGUCACCUUGCUUGAAAGGUGCUGCACGAUUUGACGGCAGGGCAGGGGAUUAUGCGGAUGGCUCCUCGGCUCCUGCCCUGGGCCUGCUACAGCGUGACCGCGAAACAGUAAUCAACGAACGAUGUGGCCAUUUUCUCUGAGAAGGGUUAGCGCCAGCUACUGGGUGUCACCUCACCAGGAAAAUGUCCACGACAGCGAGAGGAGAGGGAGACCGGGAGGAAGGUUCUCUGUUCUCUCGACAUUCAGCAACGUGUUUUUAUAGAAGUUUUUGGGAGUUUAGCACGCCUGACAUCCCAAACGAGAUCAAAAACUGCAACGAACGACCCUUCACUUAUCAACGGCGGAGCAGCCACCGGCAUGGCAAUAUGAUGGAAACGACUGAACUGAAAAAAUCGCUAGCAUUUUUGCAUAUGAAUGUAAAACAACAAUGAGAUGGCUUUCCCACGGGUUUGGCAGGGGAGAGAGAACCAGGGAGGGUCAUGUGAAAGUGGGUUGGAGCACGAACCGACGGCUAUAUUCUUUUUGCAAACCUUUAUAUCUUUAUCAGCAAAGAACAGUUGAAUUGCAACCAUUAGAUCAAUCAUCGAAUUCUAGGGUUUUCAUUAUCUCCGAACCAGCUACAAUGACCCAUUUCUCCUCCUCCUUUUUGUCUUGAAGUUGAAAUUGGCAUAGGUAUCACAUCAUUGACUACAACACAUCAUUCUUGGCUUUCUAUGCCGUCAUCUUCUUGUACUAUCUCUUUAUAUUACAAUAUGCUCACGACCCUUCCAUCUGAAAUUACUGGUUAUUAUUUAUUCAUAUCCAACAUUUUGUCCACUAGAUUUGUGAUGGAGAGAUAGAUGCAAAAGCAUUGAUUGUUAUAUGACAUCUUGUGGUGGUGGAUCAAAGAAUGAAUUCUGAUGCCAAUCAAAUGGAAAGUCAUUCAAUUGUCCCCCAAUAUAAAUGUCUGACUAGUUAGCAGAACGGAAUGAGAUCACUGGUUUCAAUAGGAUCAUAUUGUAUGAAAACCUACGUUUUUCAUCUUAAUUUUGUUUUGCUUUGCUUUGCUUUUAGUUAGUGUUUGUUGAUUCUCUUUCGAGUCCUGUCUAAUAAGCUAGGGCUCCUUCAACCCGAACUUGCAUCGAUUUUGACUAUUUAAGGCAACUCAUCAUAUCAUAAAAUACUUGACGCAUUUGAUAAAAAAAUCUUGCCAAACUUUUAAAGCCACGACCAUCAAUAAUUGUCAUAAUCUUAUAUUUAUUCGAUAUUGUGACUAUACUUGUAUAAGAAAAGAAAAUACUAGCCAAAGCUAAGCAUCAAAUCAAAAAAGCUAUAGACAUCAAGUAUUAGUGACCGGUUCAACCUUAUAUUGGCACAUAUACUGCUCUGUUAACCUUUUUCCAUUAUUAAAAGGUGACAAUUCUCGUGUUCGCUAAAACGCGGUAAUAUUUGUUACUUGUUCUUAUUUCUAUGUACUUUCCUAAAACAACUGACUAAACCGUACCAACAAUUUUUUUAGAAAUAUGACCAAUCAAUUUAUUCUAAUCCACUCGAAACAAGAAGAUGAUAACAAGUGACCGAACAUGCAACCACACACGUGACUCUUGUAUUCUUUCUCGUUCCUCUCAAGUGCCAUGGAUACUCGCUACGCCUCUAUCUCCCUUACCACUAUCACUCACCGUGAUACCCCGCACCAGCACGUUCAAUAUAACCUAAUCGCUAGAUCGAUAUGGCUUCUAUGCGAAGAAGAGUGUAAUCUUAAACCUGACUUCUUUUUUGGCAGAAAAAAUAGGAAGAUCCUCUCCAAAACGAAGCAGUGGAAUUAAAAAAAGGAAAGAAAACAAUGCCUGCUUCCACAGAAUUAGCAGGCAUUUUAUCCGAGGGCUCAAGAUUAGCACAGCAUUGAAAACGGCGCGAAAGGUAAGCAAAAAGGGAGAGAGAAGAAGGUCGCAGCCGGCGACCCGGCGAAAAGCCCAAACGGUAAAGCAACGUCGCACCGCACCGCAUCGCAACGCAAAGGAGGGGAGCGAGCGGAGGAGCGUGAGCCGGGUGACCCGCGCCGCGCCCCCCACCCCAACAAGUAGCCAGCCAGCCAGCCAGAGCACACCACCAGCCGAGGCCAGAGAGAGAGAGAGGGAGGAAAGAGGGAAGCGGGCACAAGAGGCCACCGCAGCGGCGAGCAAGACGCCUCCACACGUCUCUCCUCCUUCCCCUUCUUCCCCUCCCGUUCCUGUAGCGGCGCCCAGCCCAGCCCCAAACCCCGUGGAAUCCUCGCCCGAUGCGGCGCGGGUAGGGGCCGGGGGCGGAGCGGAAUGGCGGGGGGCGGCGAGAAGCGGCGCCGGGUGGGAGGUGGGGGCCACGAGGAGGAGGAGGAGGAGGUGAAGGAGAUGGACCGCAUCUCGGAGCUGCCGGACGCGCUGCGGCUGCAGAUUCUGAGCCUGCUGCCGCUCAAAUCGGCCAUCCGCACCGGCGCGCUCUCCUCGCGGUGGCGGGGCCUCUGGGAGCAGCGCUGGCCGGAGCCGUCCUCGCUGCGCGUCCGCCUCCCGCCCGGCGCGGCGGGGGCGGCGGCGCGGGUGGAGCAGUUCGGGGCCAUCGACCGCCGCGGGAGGCGCCGGAUGGACUGCUUCUCGCUCGCCUUCCACGGGGGGCAGCUCACGCAGCCGGACCUCAGGCGCUGCCUCGACUACGCGGCCGCGUGCGAGGUCGAGGACCUGCACCUCCGCCUCGACGGCGCCGCGGGGAGGGGGUCGCGCGGGGGAGGGGGCGGGGCCACCCGCGGCCGGGGCAUGCUCACCGUGCACUUCCCCGUGGGUAGCCGCCUGCUCGCGCGCCUGUCCGUGCGGGGGCUCAACCUCACGGCGGCGGCCAACGCGAUGGUCGCCACGCUCGAGGUGAUCCACCUCCACUCCGUCUUCCUCACCGACGCCGCGCUGCGCCGGGUCGUCGCCGCGUGCCCCCGCCUCCGGGAGCUCGAUCUCCGCUACUGCCGCCGCCUCCGACGUAUCGACUUCAGCGCCGUGGGGGUGCCCAACCUCAGGAGCUUCACCAUCGUCGACUGCUCCCGCACCACCGAGAUGCGAGUCCCAGUGGCGCCACGCCUCCGGUCGUUCCGCUUCAGCGGCGCCUUCCUCUCGAGCAACAUCCUUUCCGGUGCUUCAGGGUCUCUUGAGCAUCUCUACCUCUGCUCCGGCGGGCCAGAGACCGGCUUGCCGCCCACCAACUUGCCCACCUCAGUUCCUCGCCUAUCGAACCUCAGUGUCCUCACCCUCUGCAGCAUUGCGCUCCAGGUCUGCUCAGGGAUCUAUGCCAUUUCCUUUCAGCCCAUUUCAUUGCUUACACGCUUAUACUUGUUCGUAUUGCCUUGUAGUACAUCUCUGCUUCCACAGCCAAGGACGUAGUGGAGAGCAAGCUGCACAGCUUGAGAGAGCUCCAUUUCCUCAUGUUUGGCAUGGCCAACUCCAACCUUGCUGACAUCUAUAGCUUCCUCAAGACUUGUUCAUGUCCUCAGUUGGAGCGGCUCUUUGUGCAGGUAUCUGCUUAUUUUUUCAUGCAAAAGUUUGCAUUUGGUUGCUAGUUUGUCUAUGGCCAUGUGAUCUGUUUCUCAACAUGUUCCACUGAACAUGCAGCUCCCGACGAACAUUCAUGAUUCAUUCACGGAGAAUUUCUUGGCGGUAGCGGAGGAAGAGCCACCAAAAGGUGGAUUAGAAAACCUUUGUUUAGCCAAGAUGACAAAUUUCAAGGGGCACCGUAAUGAGAUGCAACUAGUAGAAUUUCUUCUUAGAAAGUCUAGUUGUCUGAAGAAACUAAUUCUGACUGCUCCUACGGAGGAUCACCCUCAAGGACUCCGCAAGAUUCAGUCAGAUGUUCUGCCCAAUUUUCCUAAAACAGAAAUAUUACAUCUGGAAAGAGCUUCAGCAAAUACCCAGAUAAUUUUCAGCGAGCCUGAUGGUCCUCAGAUCCAACCAUUGCAUUCGGAGGUCUUUGUCAGGUUUUAGAUUGAAAUGAGCAAAAUAUUGUUGUAGUCCAGUGUCUGCUCAUUAAUUUUUAGAUUUCUAGCUGUUAGAUAACAGACAUGGGGAAAAGAAAUGUGCAAGGCAUACAGAGUUUGAUAUAUGUUUUCUACAAUUCAUGUUACUGAAAUAUUCUGGCAUAGUGGUUGAAAUGCGAGGUAAUCUGAUCUGCCACAUUUUCCUAUUCUACCAUCCCCAGCCUCUCCUUGCCAGCUUGUGUGCAUGCCUGAAGAAUUGAAUGCUUAUCAGGCAUCUCUUUGGUGCUAGCUUAUUCUAAGCUGCUGUUACACAACCAACCAUCUAUUGGAACAGAACCACCUUCAUUUUAUUUGGGUGGAUUAGUUUUGUUGUACAUUAAAAUCGGUAAGUUAACUGUGUAUUCCAGAUAACUUAAAGAGUUAGCUGGAGCUUGUGCAAUUCUCUUGGUUAAUCCUGAAAUAACAUUAUAUUAUUCUGUCUAGGUUUCUUCUAGAUACAGAAGGAAUCUGAUAGAGCAAAGUUCAUAUAACUUGUCACCUGUUUUUAGUGGUUCCUGUAAAAUGAUGCAUCAGGGUAGCUUGGAAAAUUGUCCUUUUGUAGAUAGGAUUAUGUUACCUUAGUAUCUAUGGACUCUAUCUGGAUUCUCCAUUUGUGUGAAGAUAUGGUUUAAGCUUAGAUAUGACUGGCAGCAUGGAACAUAUUUUUUAUCGUUAGAUGGAUAUGAUUGUAUGAACUUCUGUACACUGAAACUUCCUUGCAGAUUGAAUCCAUGAUAUCUACGCACCCUGUAUGGGGGCUGUUAUUUCUGGUCCUUGCAUCCUGGUAUUGUCUUAUUUGUCUUAUAUCCGUGAACUAUAUAGGUCUUCCCUGUUUGACUAUCUAGCAUCUUGUUUAUAGCUGUUCCCAUGAAGUCCUAUAAGAAAGUGAAUGUAUAUUUGGAACCAUAUUUGAUUCUUUUUUCGUGAUUAGGGGUGAACGUGUUUCAGGACAACAGCUUGACAUUGGGUAGCUUGGAAGUAGCGCUGCAAUGUUGUUGAUGUGUUACCUUCAUGCCAAAAUAACAGGCUUGCCUUACAAUGACAACUAUUAUGAAUUUAUACUUUAUGUGGAGAUUACAUCCUGAUGGUACUAGAUGUAUGUGGAAUUAUUGGAUGAUUAUGUUUUUUUCUUUUAUUGCAUCUUUAUAAAUGUAUGAAUGUAAUGUUUAUUGUUCUGAUAUUUUUAGUGUGAUUAUCCAUAAUUAUCUUCCAAUUUGGUCUACUAUGGCUACUAUACUACAACCAAUCAAAUUUAUUAUUGGCCUUGUAUGGAAGCAGAAUUGCGGAUGGGGGAAAUGAGCUUACUCACUACUAUCAAUUACGAUUUUUUGAGGCUACUGGUUGCAAUACUUCGAUUAACAGGAAAUAAGUUAUCAUGCUAAUUUUUUUAUGACAUAAUUGACAGUGUGCUGUUGGCAGUUUAGUUUAGCCUUAAAGAUUUUAUACUUGGGCUGUUGAGCCAAAUUUAUAUUUGCUAUAUUUGGUCAUCUGGGGGGUCUUAAGUGUUCUUGUUUGAUGUUUGGGCCACUGAGUAGUGGUGGAGAUAAAUGAGGUGAAGUGGUGCUGUGUGCUUAGCUAGCUUUGCAGUGACGAGCCACUAAGGAAUGUUGGGUGUAGCAAUUUCAUGCUGAUGGUUGGUAGUAUUUUCUGCGUGUACCUUGGGGUGUUUGGGGGGGGGGGGGGGGUGAAUCUUUGUGGAAAUUCUAUGGUGCUACUUUUAUGAAGUGAAAGCCAUAUCACCUUAGUGCUUUGCACUUGUGCCUUAUCCUUUCAAACCAUGCAGAGCUGUAGAGCCACACAGCAUAGUGAAAUGAUAUGGAUAGUGUUGGUAAAGGCGUCCAUUAUCUUUGAACCUUCUUAUGCACUUGAAUGUUUGAAGCAGUGAUAUUUGUGCGUAGCCUUCAUAUCUCUCCUGAAUUUAGCACUUCUUUUUGAAAGUUUGGGCUGCUUAGGAAUGUCAAACUACAAGGAAUCGCACUUGAUGUGAAGUUACGGAGCUGGACUUUGGACUUGAUGAUUUAUGAAGCUGAGUGUUACAAGAUGUAUGACAAGCAAUACAGAAUUUCUAUGUUUCUGUUGCAAACAACCUGAUGAUCACUUGAGUACUUGACUAUUAAUAUGCAAUAUAUCGCUGCCUUCGACUCAAUGUAUCUGUCUGUACUGCUCCAGAUGUGGCCACUUUUUGACUUGUUUACAUAUAAUACAAGUGCACACUUCAAGUCUACCUUUGGAGCAAACUAUGUGUUCAUUCAACCCCUGAAAUCCACCCCCCCCCCCCCCCCCCAAUCUUUUAAAUACUGUGACCUGGAAGGCUGGAACCCCCACUGAUCAAUUGUGAUUUCUUCGUUAAUGCCAGAUUUUUUCAUUAAUAUUUUUUAGUCUGUAAUCUGCAAUCAUUAUAUAACAAAUUUGUUGUAAAAAGUACUUUACCUAUCUAUAUCCUCUAAUUAUAUUGCCAACUUGCAAAAUACAGGAAUAAGAGGAUGCUUACAAGAUCUUGAAGAGUGUGGCAUUUGGAAAAGAUUGCUUAUGCUGGUGAGGAAAAGGUGUAUCCUACUUUGUGUAAAUUAGUGGUGGGUCUAGGAUUGACCUUGCAGGGGAGGUGCAUGAUUUUAUUAUUGAAGGCUGGUAUAGUUAUAUCCCCCAUACUUUGUUAAGAUAUGUCUUAUUCAAUCUCUAGGAUAUGUUGGGUAUCUUAGGCAUAUAGGUGACUCUUGUUUGCGACACUACCCAUAGUUCUUUCGAGUAACGUAUGCUAGCUUUUCCUGUGGCUUGAUAAAUAGUCUUCUAUUGAAGGGACUUGUACAUUAACUAACGCAACGUCCAAUUCUAUUUUGACCUCAGAGAUAACUUUCUUUUCUUGUCCCAUUUUUUUAGUAUAAUUAUUAUCUCAAUAAUAUAUUCCUUUGUGUUAGUUUUAGGCUUUGAGCCUUUUGUGGUUCUACCAGGGCAUAAAUAUAAUAUAGUUCUAUCUGUUAUUUGGGCCUUAGCUUUAUGCGAUUCUUUGUAAGAUAUGAAUAUCUCGAAAUUUUCAGAAGAUCCCAACCCAAUUUUCAUGAAGCAUCUUUUCAUGAAUAAAGGUCAUUAGGCCCAGUUUGGUAAUUAAAUACACUUAUUAAAUCAAAACUUUGAAUCUUUAACACUGACAUAUCGAUUUAGCCAUUAUGUAUUAGUUUUAUGAAGAGUUGAAAACUUGAGAUGCAUUCAGAUGCUACAUUUCUAAUAUUCGGGCAUCUGAACUAUCUAGUAUUCUAGUGUGCUGUCAGUCUGCAAAUUACGUCUUGUCCUUUGGUCAUUUCUGCAAGUACCUGAACGUGUUUAUGGUCCUGCACUCAUAUUUUAAAUGUUGAUGUUCAGAUGAACGUUUAUAUGGUCCUGCACUCGCAUUUAAAUGUUUGGUAAAUGGAUGUUUCAUUAAUAUUGAAGGGAAAGUUCUAACUUUCUAGGGAGUCAAGCCGAGGGAGAAAGCAAUAUUCUUAUUAUGUAAUAACCAGAAAGAACCAAUCAUACAUCAGCUGAUGAAAUGUCUGCAUACGGCAUGGCUGUUUGGGCUGCUCUUCUUUUCCCUUGCAACAAAUUGGAUAGGGUUGCUGGCAUGGCAAGAUAAAGUGGGGCUUGCCAGGUGGCUUCUACUUCCAAUCUUUCUCAGCACAUCUUGCAUUACUCUUUAUCCUUAAUAAAACCAAGAUCAAUUAAAUCACAAAAUUAUAUGUAUGUAUGCUUUCUUAACGUCUCUUAAACUUUUGGUGUCCUUUUUCGUACCAGCUUUUCCUCUGUCCUUCCACUCCACUGUAUUGCAACAGUAUCUGUGCAGCUACUCAGAUAUGGUCUGCAAGAAACCUGCUAGUUGGGUGGGUGGGUGAGUGGGGUUGUCUGUGAUUUAGAGUUAGGACUGCAUUUAUUUGUAUGCCUCAUGGUCGUGGUCCUUGGCCUAUGUGCUACGGUCCAUACGGGGUACGGGCCCAAUUUAUUAUCACUGCUGAUUUACUUCAUCUGUUUAAGAGUGAACUCAAUUAGUUUACAACUUUUGUGAUACAAAAUUGAAGUUAUUAUAUUUGUAUUCAAAAGUACUUUAAUGUUCAUAUCAGAAAAUGAUAUAUUAAUAGAGUAAUGGUUGGUUAAAGUCAUGUCCUAACUAAACAAAAUAUGUGUUAGACAGGGAGAAGCAAAUAGUCCUACCCCAUCCACAAAGUUGGAGAGAUUAACAUUGCAUGUCUAUGCUGCCUACAGAACCCUUCAAACAAGGUUUGGGUACAAAAGUCUCGCCAAAAAGAAAGGUAGCCUACAGAAUUAUCGGCAGCUGUAAGUUAAAAAAUGGGCGACUACUGUCUACCUAAUACUAACUGAAAGGCUGGAAUUCCAUCGAUGCUAUUUUACUUCUCUUGAUACACUCAUUUCUGGGGCUAUCUACUCACCCUUGAUUUGUUCCCUUCAACCAUACUUUUGUGCUCCUAGGUCCUUGCUCUUUAUAGCUACUAGGUUCUACAAAAAAAAGUGGGCGCUGGGUAGACAUUUCAUGCUCAUCCAUGUGUUGCAAUUUGCAAUGUUUUUUUUUUGAGACAGCAAUUUGCAAUGUUAUGUAGUGGCACUCGUAGGAGAUAUGAAAAAGAACUUUUGAGCAUAUUAUAUGAUCUUUCAAGAAACUUUUGUCAUCCUUCGCUAUCUCGUAUUGAAUUCUAUCGACCAGCAUUUUUUAGAGGAUAUUGAGUUUGAGGACCAGAAACGCUUCCUUGCAGGUGAACCCGGUCGCUUGGCCAUUUUACAUGGGUGGGGCGCUGGGCUGGCCGGCUGGGCUCUGGUGGUAGCUGAGAUUAAAUAGCAUCAAGCAGGUACACCAGGACACUGCAACUUUGUUUGCAUAUUCAGAGGGAUUAUUUGUCUGGCAACUGCAUUCAAGUCUUGAUGUAGUACAAAAUUCUAAUUCUUUUUUUUUGCCUUUGAUUGAGAGAGGUUAUUAAUUCGAUAGCUGCAUUCAACUCUUGCUGUGCAAUGUUCUUAUUUUUUGUAUCUUUGAAUUUGUAGCUUUAGCUCCAAAACUUUAUCUCCAGAGUUUCCUGGAGGCAUAUCAAAUAAUUAAUGAUGCUGUCUGGAGGGUCAAAUUUGGUUCUAAUUAUUACUAUUAUUAUCCCUUAGGAUUAGUACUGGCCGUACAUUCUGAACUAACGAAGGUGCACUGGUACAUCACGUGGGCGGUGGUACUAAUAGACCGGCAGUACUGCACUACUACUGGCAGAUGGUCCAAGUCCAUACCUGCUCAGUCAGCCUCACCAACCGGAUUGCCUGUUUCGAUCACGUGCACCGCGUGUUAGAAUGUCCCCCUUACAAAUACCUCUUGUAAUUAACAAAAAGAACUGCACCUGUUCAGAUGCCCUUCAAAUCGCUUCAAAUUCAACACCAUUUCGGUGUUUCCAGAUCAUCCAACAGCACAGGAAUAUGAAGACUUGAGUAGUGGAUCUCCGGUAUCGUUGGUGGACGAACGUCCACUCCAACAUGGCGAUAGAAAGCCGCACGGAAUGUUGAACAAUUACGAGUUCGAGUUGCGUAGCCUUGCGAUUUAAAAUUGAAAUUUUCUCUACUUGAUAAAUUCAAGUGAGCAUUCGUUUGGAUCCUUGGAAUUAAAUUCUAUUCUAAUAAUUAUAAUUUAGAUAUAGUUAAUUAAGCUAAUAUAGUUAUACGUGGAAUAUAUUUGUAUAUUAUUAUUGGCUAUAUGGGAGAGAUACUUAUGUACUAUACUUCUGCUAUACUUCUGCUAUAAGAAAGCGAGUCGAAGAGUGUGCUAUAGGUUGUACAUUAGAAACAUAAUAUGAGAUCUACGGAAUCAAUUUUCAUACUCCACCCCCAUAAAUAUAAGAUAAACUUGUAUAUAUAUAUAUAUAUAUUGGUAAAUUGUGAAACGUCAUAUUCCAAGACAAAUAGUCUACUCAUAGAUUCUAAUUUCUCAAAAUGAAGAGAUCCAAACAGGAGGCACUAGAGAAUUUAACUUUCUUGUUUAUCUUAAUGACGAAAUAACAUAAAUUUUCUCUACUUGAAAAAAAGAACGGAAUGGUGGUUUAUCUUAAUGGUUCUGAAUUUUCGACUACCGGAAUAAGUUAACGUUUAUGAACUUUAUUAGAUUGCCAGUCAAAUAAAUUUCUGAGGUGGAAUAUAUGUAGCAAUUAAAGAAAGGAGAGAACGAAAAAUAAGAAAAUGGUAUGGCGUGCUCGAAACCGGGUUCGAAGAACAAGCGAGUUGCGCGUUGGGAGAAUCUAUCGUUUCUUCCCAACGCAUUUUCCUCGAUCUCCCGACUGCUGUGCCCGCCUCCGCCCUGGCGCAGGUGGCGCUCCAAGAGCCGGCGGCCCUCCAGACGUCGUUGCUGCCCGAGGUUUGCCCAACCCGGAAGGGCCCAGCGGCGGCGUGGUCAUCCCCUCCAGUCCGUCGAUACCGGCAGACCCUACCUGCGGCAGCGGCGGACAAAUCCACGAGUGGCGGCGCCUGGAGGCUGAACUAGCUGCGCGCGCUGUGCCGGACUGCCUGUGCGGUCGGCGCUGGCGGCUUGGGGUGCUGCAGUGCUGCUGCCUGAUAGCGUGCGUCCUAGCGGUGCGGCCUUGCGGCGCCGCGUCGGAGCGGGAGUGCGGCACGCCGGUGUGUCGCCGUGCGCAGGCGGAUUCCCGCCGCACACGCACUUAGAAGCAGCCAAGCAGGUCAGUCCUUGAUUGUUGAUUCAAUAUUCAGCAACGAACUCUACCAGUGGGACAUCAGCAGCGAGCCGAUUCAGCAAUCAGUUUCUUCCCUUUUCGUCUCCCCUCUACCGUAGUCAAAUAAUUGGAUUUCAUCCCCUUCCUAGUGUUCAAGUAAAUAAACGGAAUGAAGUAGAGUUAGCGAGUUAAUAGAAACAAUUAGUGCUACUGAUAACUGAUCUAAGGUUCCUCCUCUUCUUAGCUAGACAGGUAAUUUGCGAUCGCUGAUCCUUGUACAUGCAUGUUCGUAACUAUUUUUUCCCCUCUGCCAUAGACACUUAGCACUGGAGAAGGUUAUGUCUAAGAUAUUUAUUCUCUUCUCUCUCCUGUAGACACAACCCAUGGACACUUAGCAUUGAACCUUAUGACGCAGAAUAGUAGUAGUUUAGUUAUCAAGAUGAAUGCAUUAAUACUUAAUUGGUCCUUGUACAUGUAACCUGCCACUCAACUUCACUAGAUAGCGGAUGCCAUGCCAAGCUUUAUAUAUUGAUAUUCAAGUGAUUGAAUUUAGCCUUCUUGUUUAUGUGGCUGUUCAUAAUUUGGUUGCAUUGGUUAUUUGUAAAUUUAUUGUCGUAUAGUUUGAUUAUGUAUAUUUAUCUGCAGGACUUAAACAAUUGAAUAAAACAAGCCAUGCUCAAAAGCAUACAACACUGUUAUGAUCUCGGGCCAACAUAUCAACUUCUUCCUCCCCAAUUUGCUCCACGAAGGCUCUAGACACAUUUAUUUUUACCUAGGAGCAACAUGUACUGCUCCUCAACAGUUUUAUUAUUUUGGUUAGCUCUACCAUGAUCCCAUCCAGCAAGACCCUUACCCUUCUAAUAGCAACAUUCUCAUGUUGUCAAGUUGCCACAGCGUAAUCCAAUAGCUCAACAAGAAACAGAUAGAAGACCCCAACCGAUGCAGAACCAUAAUGAUGCAAAAUUUUAUUGUGUACUGUCCAUGCUCGCUAAAAUACAAGUCUUAUUAGAUCACAUUUCUCAUCAGACACAUUCUGUAACAACAAUAAUAGCCAGUCUGGACUAGAAUAAUAGCCAUAGGUCACCUCUUGCUCUUUUUUUAUAUAUAACUCUUGCUCGUAUCCUUUGUCUCCUCUCUGAUACCAUUGCAAUUCCAGGGUAGAAGGAGGAGGCACCUGCACAAUGACGAGGCAACAAGGGAUACCAGGAAGGGCAACCGGGCAACCUCUUGGGCCCUAGCAGUUUAUCAAUGGUAUUUGGAUAUUAGAGUAGGAAAGAAGUGGCAUUGGAGCAGUCUUCGAGGGCACAUCACCCGUUCUUGAGCAGGGUCUCGAGCGCCCCAGAGUCCAGAACCUUCUAGAAGCAUCAGGAUAGCUAGAGCAUCGCUCCAACCCUGGUGUCAACCAUGUCGGAGAAGCUGGCCCCCGAGAAGCGCCACGCCUUCCUGCACAGUGGUGAGCUGCCUCCCCCCCAUCUCACCUUCCAUGGUCUGCCUCCUCCAGGGCUGCCCCCACCCUUCUGACCUAGGAUUCGAUCCCCACCCCCCUUCCAUGAGCAGGGCAGAAGGUGUUCGAGUGGGACCAGACACUGGAGGAGGUGAACAUGUACAUUGAGCUCCCCAAGGGUGUGCCCACCAAGCUCUUCCGCUGCACCAUCCAGGCGGGCCAUGUGGAGGUUGGCAUCCGUGGCAACCCACCAUACCUCAACGUCAGUGCUUCUCCUCAAUCUCCCUUUGAGAUUUGGUUCCACUCAAUUACCUGCUGAUAUAUGUUUUUCCUUUUCCUCCUUGGACUCUGUGGCGUGUGGUUGGGGAUUGAUGCCCCUUUUUGGUGAUUUUGCAGCACGAUGUGGCGCACCCCGUGAAGACAGACUCCUCGUUCUGGACAAUAGGUGAGUCCCAAUUCCAUCACCUCUGCAAUUCUUGCUCUUCAAAAUUUAUCGUUUUCACUGAGUGUGGAUGUGUGAAAUGUUGUGGCCUCUGGAUCUAGACAUUGAUUUGUGUAUCAUUUCUGACAUCAUUUGAGGACAGUUAUUAAAACUUUUGUUCUGUUUAAUUCAUCUGCAAUGCAAGCUAAUUGCAUUUGGGGAUGACCUUUUGCUACAUUUAGCAAUCAAGAUGUUUCUGUGCUGUGGUGAAUUUUAGAACACCCAGUCGCUUGUGACUUGUUAGUGAUAGUAAUAUAGCAUGAGAUUGUUUUUUAUAUCGAUGCCGUAAGGAUAUUGUAACAAGAACCUGCAGCCACUCACAAAUAGUACUAUGGAGAUGUUUGUAUUGGCAUUUAAGUCAGCAGCACCUUUUCCCACUCAAAUAGUUAUUAACACGGAGGAUGGUGAUAACAAUACAGAGGAUGGUGAGAUGCAUAUCACACUGCAAAAAAGAGAGAAGGGGAAGACAUGGUCAUCUCCAAUACAAGGGCAAGGUCUCUUGGAUCCAUAUGCUGCAGAUCAAGAGCAAAAACGGCUUAUGCUGCAAAGGUUUCAAGAAGAGGUACACCCAACUUUUUGUACUAGCUGUGUUGAUGUGCAUCCCUUUUUUCAUAUAUUUGGUCAUGCUUUGCUGUUGGAUCCUAUUAUUUUCAGUUAAUUUAAGUGUUUUUAACUCACAUAUGAUCACCUGACUACUGACAUAUGAUCUGACAGCUUGAUGGGAUAGACAAAUAGUCGGAACAUAUUUUGUCUUUAGUAGUGUGCCCGUGGAAAGUUGAUACUUCAUCCCUUUCCCUAGACAAUGUACUUGUCAAAAUUACCCUGAAUGAACCAUUUUUAGGAUAAUAUGUCCAGGCUGUUGGCAGUUAUUAGCAUUUAGCAGUUUUGUGACUCUGAUUUUGUCAAACAUUGGAUAAAUGAGGCUUUUUGCAAGAUCCUUUUGAGAACUGAAACAAUGUGUAUUUCAAAAGAAAUUGGUUGAUGUGAUAAUCCAACAUGACGUGUUCUAGCCUUAUCAUAUGCGUUUUCAGCUUGAAUGUGCAUUUACAUUUUCUAAUUCCAUUAUUUACCCAUAUGUAGAACCCAGGGCUCUGACUGAAACGCCCAGCCUGAACGGCAUAAUUCUUGCUAUGUUCCUGCUGCUAUCCUCAGCAUCUUGUUAGAUGCAGCAGCAACUGGUUGGUGUUUACCCUUGAAAUAAUGAAUUAGUGAUGAUGUGUGACCCACCAUUCCAUGACUCUGUUUGUGACUUCAGUUGAUUGUAAAUAUCCCUGAACCGGGCAACCUGUGCUUGUUUACCCCCGAGCUGAUUAUAGCUAUAGGGUCAUCAUUCGGUGCCCGACUGCUCGUUGAUGAAUCAGUAUUUGGGAGAAUUGAUGACGUGGCAGUCUAAAUUGGCUUCCGGGAUGCUCUAGUGUCUUAAAUUUUUAAUUGCCAGCCGUUUGAUACACUCAUUCAUUCUUGCUUCUCUUGAUACACUCAAUUUCUGGGGUUACUCACUCCAGCUCUGUUCCCUUCUACCUUAUUUUUGUGCUCCUAGGUCCUUGCUCUUUAUAGCUCGCUGGCCCCGGCCAUAGGGUUUACAGCUCAUUAUUUUUUGAAUAAAACUACGACAACCCUGAGGUUGCCUGAACUUCAUUGCUUUUGGAGACAAAUAAUUACAAAGAUGACAAGGAACUUUCUUUUUUUGAACAAGACAAGGAACUUUAGAAGUAGCCAGAAGGACAGCGGGAAGAUGUGCAAAGGAAGCUAGAGAAAAACAGCUAGUCCUAUAUUACAUCGGGAAGAAAUUACUCCACUCUACUAAUUUUGCAUUAUCAGAAGGAGAAGAACAUCUGUUAGACCACAACGUUAGGUCGUCCCUACGUCUCCGAGAGAUCACCAAGUUUGUUUCAUCCUCAUGUCUAAAAACUUUUGCAUUCCCGCAUUUCCAAAUCUUCCAGAGUAUGCAUUUCCAAAUGUUUAAAGCUCAUUACCAUUCCCAUGCUGACAGUUAUGAACAUCGCUUUGUCCACGACUGGUCAUUCAGCCCCCGUGAGAUUCUGAGCUGGCCACUCUUACCUGUGUUUCCUGCCAGCCCUCCUUGUGGAGCAUGAACUCAUCAUCAUCCCUUCUCCCGGCUGGAUUGAAGCAAAUGAGCAGAACAUAUCUGCAGGAUGCAAUAGCCACAGUACAGCGCCCCAAUUCCGCGCUUGGAUUGUAGCAGCCACAGAAAGAUUUUACCAAGAAGAGCCGGCGGCUUGGCGACGACGAUGACCAACACUGCGGCGAACAUCAGUUUCUGCAACAGAUGGAGCCGACAGCUUCCGUUCCUGUCCCCCGCAGCAUCAGCCGCCAGCGAGCCCAGCCCCUCUCGCUCGCUUAUGCAACAGAUGGUAUGCAGCAACGAGAGAUGCUCGCCGCAGAUCCGGCCGGCCACCUGCAGCGACAUCGACGACUAGCGCGCUGCGAGGUCGGCUCGGCUGGGCGUGGCGCGUGGCGGCGGCGGAGGAGCGGGCCAAGGAGAAACGGACGCGGCAGGGAGAUACGACGGGCGUUGGGGACGAGCGGAGGUCCGGGGGAGGAGCGCAAGCCCGUUACCGACGUCCAGGCGAGGCCGCCGUCGCCGGAGCCGGGCGGGAAAGGCAGCUACUGGGAGGCAGGACUGCAGGAGGGGCUAUUUUGCAAAUAAGUUGGAUCGUGUUUGCACAUAACCCCUCAGGGGGGUAAAUGAAACUUAAUAAGGGGUUUUAUGUAAUUAAUUGGAUCGGGAUCAAUAAUCGCGAUCCGGUUUAGGGUGUUUUAUGCAAAGUAUCACGUCCCCGUCCCUAUCGACAUGGCCGGCUCCGAGCUCCCCGAACCCGCCGCCUCUGCUUCUCUCCCCGCUGGCAGGAGCAUCGUUUCCCCGUCCCCAAGCUACCCGUUCGCACUCUGAUGAGGAGAAGCAAUGAGACGAGACCGUCGACUUGUCUCGAUCCACCGCCCCGGCCAUGGAAUGGAGACCGUCGUCUUCGUCGACGGAUCGGACUCCCGCUAAGCCGCUCGCCGACCCUGCGGGAUUGCCGCUCCGGCUCCGGCCGAGCGGUUCCUGGUCGUCGCUUCUUCCAAUGUAUCAGUGACACCAUUCUGAAUUUCUGAAUUCUGAUUGAACUCGUCCCGUCCAUGCAUGUCUCCAUCAUCGGCCAUCGCUCAGCUUGUCUCCCGCCGCCUGAACCGCACCACGCCACCACGAGCGCACGCAGUCCACUGCUCUAUAUAUUCGCGCGAUCGCCGCCACGUACUCGCUCGUUCGCCCGCUCGCUCACUGCGCCGCCCGUCCACCCGCCCCUCCUUCGCCCUCUCGAUCGUCGUAGCGCGAUCCAUCGAGCUCAUCGCCGGCCAGCUCCAUUGCCCGCGCCAUGGCGGCCGCAGCUGCGCGUUCCACUCCGCCGCGGCGUGUCCCGGCGCCGCAGGUGGCCCUCGUCAUCCUCCUCCUCUUCGUCGUGCUCGUGUGCGCGCCGUGCGGCGCCGGCGCCAGGCCAGUGCGCGAGGGGGUGCGUAGCCAUACAGAUAAUGCGCGGGCGCGGACGUCGCCGGCGCUCGACGUCGGUCGCUGGGCGAGCGGGAGCGUGGCUACGGGGGCGGGGGCGCACCGGGUGGCCACGGUCGGCGGCGGCGCUCCCACGCCGCCCUCCGGCCCGUCGCAGAACCACAAUUGACCGGUGGUGCUCACCGAGCUCGCCGCCGCCCUGGAGAUCAAGAUUUCCGGCUGUCCGCUCCAGAGCAUCAUCAACAGAUACCUGGUUUAUCCUUCCUUGAAAAUGCCGGUGUUUAACUAGUUUCAACGUGUAAAUCAGCUGCCUUUGUCCACGUCAUUAGACAGUAGAUGCGUGCUAUUUAUUACUCAGUCUGCAGUUAUAUAUAGGCCAGUGGCCAGAGCAGGAUUUGAUUCGACUAAGUUUUGUUCAACCUAUCGUGCCAGUGUUUCUUUCAUUCCUCUUUGCAGUUUAAGCAAAAAAAAACUCAGUUUUUCGUCAUAUUUUGGUAGUUGUUCUUGAUGGAGUAUAGUUGUUCAGUUAAGAACUUAAGAUGUGGCGUGCUACUAUAGACAGCAGCUGACUGCGUCUCAGCUCAGCUCAGUCUCUCUCUCAUGCAUCGUUCAUGCAGUCAGCCGGUCAUGGACUGUGCUAUGGAGAUCAACCCUACGCCAGCAAACCAUGUUGCCGUGUUGGUGCUACGGCCCCAAUGGCCAGGCAGUGUCCGUGACGGAUCUCACCUGCUCCCACUCACCAACACCGUGCAUGCAUUUGCAGUGGAUGCGUCAUCUGAGACCAAUUCCCAAACUGAAAACUUCAGCUGCCGUGGAAUUUCAAAGGCCGAUCAUCCUCAGUACAGAAUCCACUACGGCUACGGUGCGUACAAGUCCUAUACAAGCCGUAGCUUCUUUGUGCAGCAGAGGAUCAUACCCUGGCGGAUGGAUUCGCUUGAAAAAUGACCUGUACAACAGCAGCUCCAAGCUUGAUAUCCAUCUGAAGGGUAGACUUGCAAAUUGAACUUUGCAUUUGCCUCCAGUUUGCAUCAGUUCCUGGGUGCGGUGCGGCGCAUGAUGCAGCAUGCUAAAAUUGGAAACCGCGGUGUCCAAGAUUAGAAGCUUCAAAGCCGUGGUUGACCUUGAAACCAUGGCGACGGGCGUUCCUGGGGGGACACGGACUCGCGCCCGGGAGAGGACACGACGACCGGCACGCGUCCUACGAUUUAGGACGGGACCGCCGCACCACUCGCCGGGCCCUUCACCGGUUUAAGUGCUCGCCGCUCCCGCCCUGACGCAUUCUUCCCCCCGCCACGCAAGGACGAACAGGAGGGGCCCACACCUCCUGACGCCCCCUUCCCGCCGAGAGAGUCGUCGAUCGAUCGACCGGCGGACCGGUUUGGUUCCGCCGCCGCCGGGGCCGGGCACAAUGGCGGGAGCCGUGAUCGUGCACCACACCACGAGGUACAAGACGUACCCCGGCGAGAUCACCGGCAUCGUCGUCUUCGCCUGCCUCAUCGCCUCCGUCGCCGGCUGCAUCUUCGGCUAUGACAUCGGCCUCACCUGUGAGUGAGCACCAUGGCAUAGAUAGGCUAGAAUGCCAAAUCAGGGGAUUGCUCUGCUCUGACGGGGGGUUUCUUUGCUUUCUGCUGUUGUUGUCGCCGCCGCCAUGGUGAUCGUGCAGCCGGGUUGACGUCGACGGAGCCAUUCUUGGUCAAGUUCUUCCCGUCCAUCUACGAGGAGACGAAGAAGCAGGUGGUCGUGAACCAGUACUGCAAGUUCGACAGCCAGCUCCUCACGCUGUUCUGCUCCUCCCUCUUCCUCUCCGCGAUGACCGCUGCCUUCUUCGCCGGCCCCUUGACCCGGGCCUUCGGCCGGAAGUGGACCCUGUUCACCGCCGGGUCCGCGUACGUGUGCGGCGCGGUCCUCGGCGGCGUGUCCGUCAACUUCCCGAUGCUGCUCACCGGCCGGAUCCUCGUCGGCGCUGGCGUCGGGCUCUCCAUCCAAGCGUCCCCCCUCUACAUCUCGGAGAUGGCGCCCGCGCAGCAGCGCGGGAUGCUCAACAUCAUGUUCCAGCUGAUGAUCACGGUGGGGAUCCUGACGGCGAACAUGACCAACUACUUCGCGUCCAAGAUCCCCGGCGGGUGGGGGUGGCGCAUCGCCGUGGCGUUCGGCGCCGUCCCCGCCGGCGUCAUCGCGCUGGGCUCGCUGGCCAUCCCGGACACCCCGACGUCGCUCAUCCAGCGCGGCGACACCGCGACGGCGCGCAAGACGCUGGCCCAGAUCCGGGGCGUGGGCGACGUCCGCGAGGAGUUCGACGACCUGUCGACGGCGAGCGAGGAGGCCAAGGCCGUGGAGAACCCGUGGCGGGAGCUCUUCUUCGGCGGCAAGUACAAGCCCCAGCUGACGUUCUCGCUGCUCAUCCCCUUCUUCCAGCAGCUCACCGGCAUCAACGUCAUCAUGUUCUACGCGCCCGUGCUGUUCAAGACCGUCGGGUUCAAGCAGAACGCCUCCCUCGUGUCCUCCAUCAUCACCGGCCUCGUCAACGUCUUCUCCACCUUCGUCGCCGUCUUGACCGCUGACAAGGUCGGCCGCCGCGCCCUCUUCCUCCAGGGCGGCACGCAGAUGAUCAUCUCCCAGGUCGGCCGGCCGCUGCUCAUCUUCUUCUUCUUCCCUCCCGAGCUUGCCCAUGAAUGUGUCUGAAUGCGUUAUUCUGUAUCUGAUGCCGUCGCCAUGAUCCAAAUUCUUGCACGCAGAUCCUGGUGGGCACCUUCAUCGGGCUGCAGUUCGGCAUGAGCGGGACGGGCGCCAUCUCGGAGCAGUAUGCCAUGUGCAUCGUGCUGUUCGUGUGCGUGUACGUGGCCGGGUUCGCCUGGUCGUGGGGCCCCAUGGGGUGGCUGAUCCCCAGCGAGAUCUACCCGCUGGCGGUGCGGUCAGCGGCGAUGAGCGUCACGGUGGCCGUCAACAUGUUCUUCACGGCCUUCAUCGGGCAGAUCUUCCUGACGCUGCUCUGCCACCUCCGGUUCGGGCUCUUCUACUUCUUCGGCGGCUGGGUGCUGCUCAUGACGCUCUUCAUCGCCAUGCUGCUGCCGGAGACCAAGAACGUGCCCGUCGAGGAGAUGGCGCACAUCUGGAAGAAGCACUGGUUCUGGAGGAAGUUCGUCGUCGACACCUCCCCCGACGCGCGCAGCGCCGAGAUGAGGAAGAGGAUAGCGCUAGAGAUGAGCUAGCUGAUGAUGAGGCCGAGCAAAGCCUCGUCAUCAGCCAAGUACAUUUGAUGGAUCGAUAGAUAGAGUGCAGAACACACAUGAAUGUUGUUGUAGAUUUGAUCAUACAUACUCCUAGCACAUCUUGUACUAACUAAACUGUUUUACCUUCUCUCUUUUUUUCUUCGGUUUCAUGUGCCGAGUUGUCAGCAGCAUUUUUUUUCUUUUUAAUUGAAGAAGAAUACAGAACGAUUUAUCAUCCAGUAAUCUCACGUGGAGUGUGCUACUGUGAUCACAAUGAUCGUUCUUCUUUAAGCAUCACUUUUAGUAGUUCCCACUUAUCAUCCAGUACAAUUGAAGUCCUUUUCUGUUCACUUUCCCUUUUCUCUACCUUUUUCUAAGUAUUUAAAUUCCUUUCUUUUUCUGUUCACUUUCCCUUUUCAAGAUUCUUUUAGGCAAAACUAGCUAAGCCAGCCUACAAGGAAUUAGGUGGAUCCAAGAUCCAUGCUACGAAGAAGCAAAGCACCCAAACUCUCUUGUCAGUUUCAAGAUCUUGACUUUCAACCAGCAAUCCGCAUACAAAACGCACAAAGGGAAAUGAGUACAAAUGAGGUCGUAGCAUCAGGUUUCGGCAAAAUUUGUAGCAGAAGCGCUAACCUUGCCGAUCCUGACUUUCAACUAGCAAUUGACUUUCAAGAUCCUGACUUUCAACUAGCAAUUCACGAACAAAACCCGAAGGGGAAAUUAGUGAUCUGGAUGAGUACUCACAAAACGCGCAGGUAACUUAAAUUUCACACACACAAGUACGUGUUCUUAGAUUACAGGGAUACUCUGCUGCUCCAAACACCACUCUGGGACUUGCUAUUUACAGAAAGCUCUUAGCUAUGGCUUCCAGCAGCUCAGACCCAAACUGACCGACGCGACGACGACGAGCAGUCGAGCAAACAGCAGAGUGGUGCAAGACAACAGCAGCAAGCAACAACCAGUGGUGGUGGUAGUACUAUGGUACAGCACAGUACAGAUCCGGCCGCCGGAAGCACGCCGGAACGCCGCGGGAGCUCGCCGACCGAGCAGAGAGAGCGUAGCAUCACUUGGGCCCCCAGAGCAGCAGGUGCAUCACCUUGGCCGUCUUGCCGUGGUCCUCGCGCCCGCCGCGCCGCCCCGGCUGCGGCUGCUGCUGCCGCCCCGCCGCCACGCCGGCGUCGCGCGCCGUCAGCGCGCGCCGGAGGGCCGCGAGCUCCGGCCACCUGCUCUCCCGGCCGCCGCCGCCGCUCAUGGCUCCUGCCGCAGCUGCUGCGCCACCGUAGCACCUCUCGGCUCUCGGCUUCUGCUACAAACAAAUCAUGCCGUUAGCAGCUAACUCUACUCACCAGCACCCACCAGGCCGGCCACUUAUAUAUAGCGGCGAGGAGCCGGCGGCGAGCCUGCCAGCGAAGACGUGACGUGUCCAGACUCCAGCGGAGGGCCCGGCGCGGCAGCUGGGGAUAAGCGGUAACAAAUAUCGCGCCGCGUUCUUAUCAAAAGAAAAAAAAUAUCGCG